rnacentral:lncRNA from 1 species
UCACAUCCAACCAAAAUCCCUUAUAUUUAGGGACGGUGGGUGUCAUAGGUAGUGGGCCGAGGGGUCGAGGCCCUAGGGAUAAGGAUAGAGUUGGUUGGAUAGGAUUAGACUGGGUCCUCCCUCCAUCUAUAUAAGGAUGGUUUGUAUCAUCAUUCUAAUUAAGCAAUGAAUCAAGAUUAGUCUCUCCCAACCUAAGUCCCCCUCUCAUCCCUAGCAGCCGUCGCCGCCCGGCUAUCCUCUCGGCGGUGUUUACCCCCUAUGAAUCCUAACCCAUAACAGUGGGAGUAUUGUUUUAAUUUUCUAAAAUCACCACUUUUAUUCAUAAUGCAGCCAGAGGGAGUAGCAAUUGAAUCAAGGAAGGUGCUUCUUGAGCGGGCGUCUCAAGGAACAACGAUCUUCGUGAUGAACAAGUGAUGUCCUCUCUGCUCAAUUUCAACACCCAUUAGUAAGCUAAUAAUCAAUAAUGAGUAUGCUAGCUGACACAAUACCGUAAAUUUUGAUUGACAGGCCUUCCUGGAUGAUAGAGACUGAUCCAAAGGAAGUUGGCCUGGGAAUAUAUGUGUAGGGGAAUAGUAUGUUUCCCUCACUAUAUGUCUAUAUUGAAGUUUACAGCUCCUAAUUAUAAUUUUGACGGUGAAAUCUUAGCACUUACUACAAAGUUCUUGGGUAUGAGUAAGAGCAAGAGCGACAAAUAGGACAGGGCAAUGAACAAGUAAAUUCUUAUCCAUUUUCAACAAGGCACCUCUGUCUCUUUGUUAAUCGCACUGUUCUGAAUGUGGCUGUAAAUAAUAGAACGAAUUUGUAAUGCUCUAAGAGUAUGGGGUGGAUGAAUGAAAUGAAUUGGAGCACAAUACAACCAAACGAGGGUUACAGUUUUGAUGAAGUAUCCUAGUGCCUGUUAUUGUCUUAGCAGAAAUGUGUGGUGAGUUUAUGAGGUCUCUAAAGAAUUCGUUACAUUCCAAGAGCAUUAAUGCAUCCACCGAAAUGAAUUAUCCGUAGCAAUUUUGGUCAUCGUGUUUAGCAUCGACUUGUGCAGCCUGUGAAUUGAAGUAGAAGGGCAUAUAUAUAUAUAUAUAUAUAUUUCUCUGUUCUGCUCUUGCCUCUGUCUACAAAAUUCCACGUAUUCUUUAAAAGCAACGGAAGCUAAAUAACAUUUGUGGGUGGGUGUGGGGGGUAAAACUUAUCUCGUUCUAUACAGAUUGCUGAGACUAAGAUAUCAUAUAUACCUAUGUAAGCUACGAAGAGCUGAUGAUAGUUCGUUAGCAUUUUAUCAUUACCUACUUUACAUUUCAACUCUGACAUAAUUCGCAUGUUCAACAAUGGCGAUCCUCGUACUGCAGCUCUUGUUCGACUAUGAUAUGCAUUCUACAUCACCAUUGAUGUUGCAGGAAACAGCCUGUCCAGUAGGGUAUAAACCCCUCCACCCAGUAGAAAUGCACCACUACCAAGCAAAUGGCAAAUGUUAGCGCAAGGCGUUAAUCCAAAAAAAAUAAAGUAUAAAAGGCAGAUUUUUUAAAGAAGGAAUGGCUUAUAUUUUUUUAGAGAUCCUUCCUUUUUUUAAAAAAGAAAGAACACGAAUGUUUCUGAGGAAUUGGAACUGUGCAAAGCACAUGACAGAAUUGUGGCAAGAAGUUUAGAACAAUAUCUUACAAAAGAAUAUUAAAUGGAUGAUAAGGUAAAUUUGAUGUGCUAUAUUCUCUGAAAGAAGCAUGCCCAACAAAUGUGAUUUCAAGCUCUUUGAACCAAGACAGUGAAAUUGUAGCGAAUGCUAUCAAUUAACAAAUAUGGAUUUUCAGUGUUUCCUUUGUAAAAGGUAGUAAAAAAAUUAUUACUAUUCAUACAGAUAAUUAAUUGCAACGUGCAGGUCUUUUGCAAUCAAAUUACAAACCAGGAACCUCUCAAGAUCCAGAAAGAGCUAAGGCACAUACCUGAUUGGGUUUAUCCAUGCAGAAUACCUCCUGAAGGAAAGCAAACUCUACAGAAAGCAAAUAAUUUAUCAGGCACUAAACUUAAAAUGAACAGGUGUUGUUGUUCUAGGAUUUGUGCUGUUAAACUGUUAGUCAAGUCUAAGUGAGAUUUAAAGUUCCAUAUUUGAUGGAACUAUCUUAUCUAUACUUAACCAGAUGUGUAUAUCAGAAGGCAUUUAUACCUGCAGUGCUCCAGCAAAAGAAGCUGCAAUGAGAAGAGGUGCAACAUAGCCAGUUGUAUAAGUCAAUAACAAACUUCCCCCAACAAUCGGAUCCUGACAGAAAAUGUAUUGUAAUCAGCAUGUCAGAAAAUUAAUAAAUUAGGCGAACAUAAACUUCUUGCCAACAAUUAUGACAGAUUGCUAAGUCAAGUGUAACAUAUAUUAGAAACAAAGAAAUCAAAAUUACUGCAUAUCGUACGGUAUGUGAUUUACUAACUUUAGUAAUUAAAGACACUAUGGUAAAAUUUAUGACAGUUUUACUGUUUUGAAAUUUAAGAAAAAGUAAUAAAAUAUUAAUGUAACUUAUGAAUGUUCCUGUUAUGCAUACUCUUGAAGUGGCAACAUAUCCCAGAAGGGUAGCAAGAACAGGUGUACUGCAAGGUGAUGCUGCUAAUGCAAACGUAAGUCCGGCAAGGUAUGCUUGUACACCUAUAGGGAAACAGCAAGAUAUCAUUUACCGUAACUGAAAUAAACAUAAUGAGGCAUAUGGUACUUUGAUACAAAAUAGAAAAUUAUGUCAAAGCAUUACUGGAAGGGAGGUUAGCUGCAGCAGCUCGAGGGUCAUAAUCGCUGAAAAAUGAGGGAAGUUGUAGCUCAAUUACCUGUAAAUACAAGAUAACCAGCAUAGAGAACAGUUUAAGGCAGUGAGCUAAUAUCUACUAUAACAGGAGUGAUACACAUUUCAUUGAAAUAAAUUACCAUCGCGGCAAAGGAUUUACAAUUAUUUAUAAAAGGAAAACCAUCAAAUCAACUGAUACUUGAUUUGAAUUGUGGCAACAAGUUAGCUUGAAAAAUUAAUUGGCAUGCUCCGCUUUAUGAGUUUUCACAUUGGAUCAUGAAUUUACCUCAAGAAGGUUCAAUCCCAUGAUAACUGCUAACCCUGAAGCAGCCACUGGAAGUCCUUGUCCUACCUGUCCAUAGGCCUUUCCAGCAAAAGAAGCAGCAACACCAAGGAUGGCUAAGGUUGUUGCCAGUCCUAAUGAAAAAGCAACUGAAUUUCCAACAACCUAAUAGAUAGAAUGGAAACAUAUCAAUUUACAUCAAGAAUAACAUGGAUGAAGUUUUUUUCUUCUACAUGGUGAAUGGAUGUUAUGGCAUACGAGGUUUUGGGUAUACAUGCUCUAUUUAAUUUCUAUAAGUUAUUUUAUAAAUAAUAGAAUAUACCUCAGAUCGAUCUUUGCCCGAGCCAAAAGCACCUGAAAGAUUUUAAAGAAUAUGUCAUCAGAUCAGUGCCAUCAAUUGUAACUGAUCCUGGGCAACAAAAAAAAAGCAUCUCAAAAGGCAAUCGCUAUACUUGCCUAUAUAUCCUAGAGUCAAUGGUAGAACACUGAGUGUACAAGGAGACAAACUAGUUACAAGUCCAGCACCGAAAAUUACAGCCAAGCUGGAGAAUAGAGAAACAUGUCAGAAAAAAAUAUGGACAUGAAACAUAAAAUAUAAUCUGAGAAAGUAAGUAAACAGAUUCUGUCCAUAGGCAAUUGACCGCAGGGGAAAAAAAUGCUUACCUAGUGAAACUAAGAGCAGAGAGCUGAUCCUGAACAGCCUCGUUGGCUUGCUGACCCGCUGAAUAAAGCAAAUUUCCAAACCAAUCUCCAAUGCUAAGGUCAGCCAAAGCAAGUCCAGAUGACCCUAACUGAUCAUAAUAAAAUUUUAUGCACGCAUUAGCUAUAUGCCAUCACAAUGUAAUAAAAAGGAAUAUAUGAUAUUCUCUUUCCUAUGACAGAUAACUACACUGUUGACUACAAUUCAUUAUUGUUUCUACGCAGUAGUACAAUUUGACAUGUUAAAAUCACAACUUGAUACAGGCAUCACGAACUCUUUUGUGAUCAGCAAGAAGGGGACAGAAAAUUCGAAGGCACAUAGUGCUCCCUCACCAGAGAAUCACCAAUUUCUGUAGCAUUUGCAGCGCCAGCAGCAACCAGACUCCCCACUGCGACCAAGAAACACCACUCACUAACGUCAGAGACAUUUCAUCAAACAGAUUGCCAGCGAUAGAACACAUGAAGGGAGCAGUCAACAGCUAACACUCUACCCGCCACGGUCGCCAGCAGCAUGGGGCGCUGGCGGACGAGAGAGCACCUCGCCGCGGCCUCCAAUCUCGCUCCACGAAUCGCUGCCUUGGAAACCGAGCUCCCGCGCUCGCGGGGCACACCCACGAGCACACCCGUACCAGGGGACGAGGAGGUGGAGGGCUUGGAAGCAGCGGCCUGCGCCGGGCGGCAGGGGCGGCAGGUGGAGGUGGUGCUACUAACGGGGCGCGCGGCCAUGGCGACGCAGAGCACGGAGGAGUGGAUGGAGCGAAGGAUACCGGAGAAGAGGGAGAAGAGACGCUUCUGCUUGGGUCAAAGGGAGAAGAAGGCCACACGCCCGCGGGGAGACGUGUAGCCUUCGAUGGGCCGGGGCCCACGAGUCAGUGUGAAGCUAUAGCAGCUUCCUCUUUGGGCUUCAUUUAAAGCUAUAGCUUUCUCCGGCAAGCCGUCGCCUCAGCUCAUCUCCCUGUUUGCGAAAUUGCGGCGGCGGCGCCCAAUCUCGCGGUGCAGGGGCGGCGCCUAGUUCUUCCAUGGCGAGAUAGCAUUCCGGUUUGCCGGAGGAGAUUGCCGUCGAGAGCGAGAGAGAGCAUCGGCGAAUCAUUUUGAAGUUGGGUGUUCCUCCUCUUCCUCCCGGCGAUGGGGAACUGGAAUCACCAUCGGCGGCCAUGGCACAGGAGGAGCCGCCACGAACGCCCUCCGCCUCCGCCUUCACCUCCUCCGCAUCCCGGUAUGGAUGACUGAUUUGCUUGUUCUGUUCCCUUUGUUUCUAUGGAUUGGAUUGCGUUUUUGUAUGAUUCGAUUUAAGUUCAGGUGGUGAUUUGUUAGGCAAGAAUAGGGUUAGAAAUUUUUAAAUCUAGGUAUCUAGUCAGUAGGUCUGGUAAUGUCGGUUAAUGCUUUUUCUGUGAAUUGGAAUUUUAGGAAUCGACAUGAAUAUCAUUCUACUUCUUGCCAUCCUAAGAAUGCACAACCGUCAUAGAUAGUGGACUGUCUGCUUAGAACCAGAGUUGCUACUGCAACUUUCUUUACCAAUAAUCUUAUUGUUUGUCUAAUUGUCUUAAUAUUUCAAAAUGUGGUGCUUAAAUGUCAGAAAGUUCUAGUUUUAUUCAACUACCAAGUAUCAAUUUGUCGUUUGAGCUGUAAUGGUAUUGCAGUUUGCCAUCUACUAAUGUGCAAACUUUGUAUAUACGAGUUGGUCAUUUGAUCCAACCACACAGUAAGCACAGUGUGUCAUCUGUUCCGACAAGAAUAUGUAACGGAAAUAGUGGUGAUGCAUUUCUAGAUUAGGAUAUUCUCCGCUUCCCGCCAAAGUAAUAUACAACGGCCUAAUGGAAAUAGUAAUAAUUUAGGAUGGUCUUUUCUUCCCACCAAAAUUUAAAACACCGCCUCUCCUUAUCCACUAGAAGAAAUUUUUUUUUGAACGAAUCACUAGAAGAAAUAUAAAUGUUGAAACAUAACCAUGGUGCACCACUUCUGUACUUGAAUCUUGCUAGACACCAACCUGCCACCUAGCACGGUUGCCAUUCAGGCCAACUAUUGCUAACUAGGAACUAGACACCACCAUGUUACCCCGUCACUCGCCUAGCAUCAUUUUGAACACUACUAAAUUGCCCUAGCUCAUUUCGUUAUUACAUGGGGGGUUCCAACUCACCUGGACCUUAAUGUGGCAUGACUAGGAGCCUAGCCUAGGAAUUUUUUUUAGAGCAAGGGCCAUUCCCAGUUCCCACAUUUCCAUUAACAGAAAUGUAGCUACAGAUUUCAGGAAAACAUAAAAGGAAACCACCAACUAUCCUGAUAGAGUUUUCAUUGGUCAAUUUGGGUUGGGUGUCAACACACAACCUCCUAAUUGCCAGCAGCCAGCACAAAGUAAAGACACAGGGAGCCACUCUAGGGACUCAGCCAAACAGAACCCAGCAGCCCAACCUGAUCAAAAGCCCACCCUACUGAGAGACUUCCAGUUUUUUGUCAACAGUGAGAAGAACCGGGUCAGUGCUUCAGGUGAAAUCAAACUCCAGAGUGAAGCCUUCUAGCUGGUAGCCGCUUCAUCCCCACCCUCCACCCGAACCUUGUGUUGAAGAUGUCAUUUACAAAUUGCUUUAGGAGCUGGACCCCCCACAGCAGCCCUCUUCGCUCUUCCUCCUGCAUCUGCAAACCAGCUCAACAUGUAAUCCAAUGACAAGCAUAAUAAAUCAAAUCUGUGGGAUCUCCAGGAAGUUGUUUCUUAAAACAAGCAGAAUUUUUUGUUUUCCAAAUGACCCAUAAAAUAGCAGCCACACCAACCCAAAUGGGAUGUUUCAUGUUUUUCUGAAAGCUCUCCAUCCAACUACCAAAAAGAUGAUUUAUAUCUCUAAAAGGUUUCAAGUUGCUACAAACAACAUUCCAGAUCACUUUUGCAAUUCGGCAUUCGAUAAAAAGGUGUUGCAUUGAUUCUGCUGUAUCACAGAAUUGACAAAAUUUAUCCCCCUUCUGCCAACCUCUUAUAAUUAAAUUAUCUUUUGUUAGUAUACUGUUUCUCAAAAGAAGCCGCAGGAACACUUUGAUUUUUCAAGGGGAUCUUGAAUUUCCAUAUUUCCUAUGUGAAAAAUAAAUGCGUAUUUUCAUAUCUUUGUAAAAAGAUUUAACAGUGAAUUACUCUAUCUGCUUUUGACCCAUCAAGAGUAAGCUGAUCUGAGUAAGCUUACCCUAGGAGAUGGAAGGCAGAGUUAUGUUAUUAUGAUCAUACAAGUUAUUUCUCUAAAAUUAGGAUAAUUCUAGAAGCUUCAAAAGAGCGUUGCUUUGCAUUAGCCAUAUCACAGUCAUCUGGUUGAGGUUGUACUUAAUGGAGAAAGGAAACGAAGCGCUGUACUUACUGCACAUUUCUUUAGAAAAAUGAGGAGCCACAAAAUGUUAAGUUGGCUAUUGAUAACUUCUUAUGUGGGCGUAACAUUUUUUUCCUCAAGCGGCAGUAUGCUUAAUCUAUGAUAUACUUGAAGAAACAUUGUUAGUACUUGCUAUUAAAAUAAACUAUUAGGUAACUGACAUAGCCAUGAAAGGUGCAGUUGUGUGGCGACAAAGGAGCAUCCAUUAGAAGGAAUGCUAGUAUUUUAGGAUUGAACCCUUUUAUCUAGUACUUUGAAUAAUUCUUCUGUUUAGUCUGUUAUGAAAGUAACUGUUGGGUGUCUUUUUUUUCCAUACUUUUAGAAGAGAUGCUGCUAUUUCAGGCGAUUUCUAAAUCUGUACAGUGGUGUUCAGAUGGUAAUUUGUUAGGGAAGACUCGGGUUGGAAAAUUUUCGAUCUAGAUAUCUAGGUCUAGUACUUUCUUGUUGGCUGACGAUUUUCCUGUGGAUUGGAGGUCUCGGAAUGGGCAUGAAUAUCAUUUUGCUUCCUGCCACCCUAACAAUGACACAACUGUUGUAGAUGGUGGACUGUCCUGUACUGUGUGAUGCGGUCAAUUUAAGCUUAGAACCAGAGUUGCUACUGCGACUUCCUUUACAAUUAGGCUUAUUAUUUUUGGUCUAAUUUGUCUUACUAUUUGAAAAGGUACCCAAAUGUCAGAAAAUGCUAGUUUUAUUUGACUACCAAGUAUCAGUUCAUAGUUUGAACUGUAAUGGUAUUGCAAUAAGCAAACUAAUCCCUCUGUUUUUUUAUUUGACUUUGGUUAAUUCAACGUCAAAUAAAAAAAAUAGAGGGAGCACUUGUGUGCACAUAUCUUCAGAAAAAAUGAGGGGACACAAAAUGUUAAAUUGGCUAUUGAUAACUUCUUACGUGGCCAUUACAUUUUUUCCUCAAGCAGCCGGAUCCUAAAUCCAUGAUAUGCGUAAGGAGACGUUAUUAAUUGCUAUUAAAAAUAAACUAUUAGAUAACUGACAUAGUCAUGAGAGGCGCAGUUGUGUGGCGACAAAGGAGCAUCCCUUAGAAGGAAUGCUAGUGUUUUAGUACUGAACCCAUUUAUCCAGUAGCCUGAAUGGUUCUUCUGUUUAGCCUGUUAGGAAGUAACCGUUGGGUGCUUUGGUGUCUUUGUUUCCCAUACUUUUAGAAGGGAUGCUAAUAUUUUGGAUUUGACCCGUCCAAAAUCUGCAGGCGAUUUCUAAUCUGUACAGUAGUCUUAAGCAAUCUAACCAGAAUUUUUUUGUAUAUGUUAUUUGUUUGUAUAAACAUUUUAGAAUUCAUCAUCUCCUUGCAUUUUUAUGCUGCUACAAUGAAUCUGAUAUUGCUUUUGUAUUUACAGGACACAAUUGCCACCCAGUCCCAUUAUGGGAAAGGGAAUUUUGCAUUUAUGUUGGCGGCAUUUCUUGGCACAGGUUCUGUGACAACAAGAGAUAUGUCUGCAUGUAUAAGAACAUUGAGCAAUGGGAUGACUCAGAAGCCUUUGAUAAUUUUAAGAAUGCAAAGGCUAGAUUCUGGGCUAAUUACCAUGGCCAACCUUCAGACAUAUCUUUGCCAGACCCUGAUAUGUAUAUUGACAAGAUUGACCACAAUAGCAAGAUCGACCCUGAGUUGAUAGCUGACCUGAAGAUGGUACGCUUACCAUUCGAGAGGGAUGAUGAGUUACUCCCAGCUGAUGGAUUGGGCAGCACUGAUACAGAUAACAAGUGCCAGCAGAAGCAGAACCAAUCUGGAAACUGGGACAUCUAUGUAGAAAAGCCCACUGAAGUUAACAAGUGGGAGCAAGAUUCAAGAUCCAACAUGGACUGGGGAACAAAGCAUGAAUCUUGGAAUGAAUGGAGUAAAAAUUGCUCUGGUUGGGGUAGUGCCUUGGCGGAUUCUAGUGCCUUGGCGGAUUCUAGUUGGGGCAAUUGGAAUAAUAGUAACAAUCAUCAUUCAUCAAAUAACAGGGAUAGCUUCAAUGGGGUCAACAGGAAUAGAUACCAGGACCCAAACAGCAUAUCUGGAAGGAAAAGGAAUAGUGGUGGGCACAUUCAGCAAAGAAACAGUAGACAGAGAAACCAGACUGAGGGCUACCAAGGAAGUACUCCUAGAUGGUGAGACCAUAUAAGACAAGAGAAUGGUCUCCAUUUGAUAAUAGUGUAAAGGGGGUAAAUGACCACACAAUAGAAUGUGGCCUCUUAGUAGUGCGAAAGAUUGGAUCAGAAUGAACUUUUGUCUGGAGACUACAGGGAUAGCUUCAAUGGGGUCAACAGGAAUAGAUACCAGGACCCAAACAGCAUAUCUGGAAGGAAAAGGAAUAGUGGUGGGCACAUUCAGCAAAGAAACAGUAGACAGAGAAACCAGACUGAGGGCUACCAAGGAAGUACUCCUAGAUGGUGAGACCAUAUAAGACAAGAGAAUGGUCUCCAUUUGAUAAUAGUGUAAAGGGGGUAAAUGACCACACAAUAGAAUGUGGCCUCUUAGUAGUGCGAAAGAUUGGAUCAGAAUGAACUUUUGUCUGGAGACUAGAGCAGUUAGCAAUAGUUGGCAGUUAGAACAAAUGAUCUAUGUAAAGAGAUGCUCGAGUUUUUUCCUUCUCUAGAAAGAAAGUUUCUUCAUGUCGCUUGAGACAUGAUGUUUUUGGGUAAUGGAAGCAGAAUGCUGCCAUUUCGUUGUAAAGGUGAUCGCCAUAAGUUAGUUGUUUUUUUUCUCUUUCUUUCUUUCAAGCUCCAUGAAUAUGUAGUUUGUUCAAGUGAAACAUAGAAUUCAUGUACUGGUAGCAUGUUAGUACUAACAUAUACUGAUAUAUUGAUAAUUCGUGUCUAGUGCUAAUAAAGAUACUCAUAAGUCAUAACCAGAUGAAAGAGUCUGGUACAGUAUGUGUUACUAACAUAAAUUUUGCAACUACCAAACAUAAAUUUGUGUGCAAGUGUACUCAACCAUAAGGGCAUUUCCAACCCAAGACACUAGACAUAAUUUCCAUAAACUCCACAUCAUCAAGAAACUAGUACUAGACACUACUCUUUCAAUGCAAACACUACUAUUCCAUACUUAAAUUUAAUGCUACUUAUCUCACAUGAUAUCUUGGACGUUGUGUAGAAACCAUAUCUCAUGCAAUAUAUGGUUUCCUUCUCUUUUCUCAUUUAUUCACUUGCCAUUUCAUUUUUUAUCCUAGGUGGCAGCUUAUUUAAUGCUAUGGACAUCAUCCUAGUCAUUGGGUUGGGAAUGCCCUAAGUCUUCUUUCAUCUGAUUAAUUUGUUAACCAUAAGCGUACUCGCAACUGUCAAGGGUUAAUACUAGAUUCAUCACAAAGUGUUUUUCACACUUUCCUUAAAUAAAAGUGUUUUUCACACACAUACACACAAACUUCCACACAUAAAUUCGCUUGCAAAAAAAUAGGAUCUUUUUUUAAUGUUCGAUGCUGAAACAGGGGCUUUAACAAAAAUAAUACUUAAAAACCAUUUUAUAUUAUACAAGUCGCUUUGACUUUUCACUUAGUCAAACUUCUAAAAGUUUGAUCAUGUUUAUAAAAAAAAUCUAGCAACAUUUCUAACACAAAACAAAUAAAAUAUAUUUAAUAUCAUAUUUAAAGAAACUAAUUUGGUAUUAUAGAUAUUGCUAAGUUUUUAUAUAAAUUUAGUUUUAUACUAGGAAAAGUAUCAAAAAGAUUUAUAAUAUUAAAUGGAGUUAGGAGUGUUGUGUUACCUUAGGGUGAAAACAAACCGUAAGGGGUGUUAUGCAAAAACUAGGAUCACCUUCAUGACAAAAAUAGCCCGAAACAAGGGCCUUUUUGUAAACAUUACUGCCAGUCCGUCAGCGCGCGGAACACAGCGAUCUCUGCCGUUGGAUCGAUCAUCAACGCUCCAUCGGAGCAACGCCGCCCCGUCAACAAAUGCGGCGCCUCCCCCCUCCCCCCUCCCGACGUUUCCCGUUUCCCUUCCUUCGCGCGGCGCUGCUCCGGUAGGGUUUUUAGCCGGCGAUCUCUCCCCUCUCGCGCGCUCGGCGACUGAGAAUGGUCGAGGUGGAGGAAGUCAGCAACAAGAUGCAGGCGCAGAUGCGCCUCCACCCCGCGGCGGCGGCGGAGGAGGAGGACGCCGACCUCCCGCUCCCUGCCCUCUUCGACAAGGCGUCCCACCUCCACUCCCUCGCCUCCAGCUCCUCCCUCGAUCAGGUUUUCCCUCGAUUCACCCCCCCUUCUCCUCAUCCCCAUCAACCCUCUCAUGGCGGUUUCAUGCGAGCGCUUACUGUGGCUGCUUGGUUUGGUUUGGGAUAUUUGCAGGAAGGGAUCCGCAAGGGGGUCGACCUGCUGCGGCGGUGCGACGAGAUGGUCAGUAAGCUCGGCCUCUUCUCCUCCAACGAGACCAAGGAUGACGUCUCCACUGCCAACCUCAAAUACCUACUCGUAUGCUUGUUUCCCCCACUACAUCUGCGUUUAGUUCCGUUUCUCUUAUCAUAUCAUGUUUGUGCAUCUGCGACAUGUGGUUAUAUCUGUGAUUUCGAUUGAUUUUCUUCAGGUGCCGUACUACCUUGGGGAAAUGACUGAAAGGGUAGCGCAGGAAGAUCGGAUCCCAGUCCUUAAGGCGUCGCAGGAUCAUUUGAAGGUUAUAUCAGUUUGUCCUGUCACAUUUAGUUGAUUUGGUGCAUAUUUGUCAUGUCUUUCUUAUGCCCUUUUCAAUUGGGAGCACUCUGUCAUCACAACACUCAUGUUUUAAUCACUACGGUUACGCAGGAAUUCAUUUCUAUCUGUGAAGCACUGGAGCUUAUAUCAGAGGAUGAGCUUGAAUUGUCUAGGCAGAAGCAACCUGAUACCAUGGCAAAUCGAAGAGCACAGAAGGUGAGCCUUGGCAAAAUAUUUUUUCUCGAAUAUGUUAAAGCCUUAAAGGGGUCAUCAAUCAUUCUGCAAUUUACAAACACAAUAAGCUGGGAUCCAAAUCUCUUAUUGAGACUGCAAAAUCUGGGACUCAUAAUCUGCUUGACCUUUUCCAAAGUCGGUUAAUUUCCACUCUAAUUUUCUUGUUUGACCAAACCUAGGUUGCACGGUUCAAGCGCCAAAAGGCUGCAGAAACAAAGCUCCUAGAAAUCAAGGAGAGGAAAGAAAGGCGUAGGCGGUCAUUGAGAGCAGCUGCUUUAUCAGCUCCUAUUGAAGCUGGGGAGGAAGAUGCUUUUGAGGAUGAUGGAGAGGAAGAAAGAGAGGUUAGCAGUUAGCACCAGACAUUUAGAACCCAUUUACGUAGCAAAUCUGAUCUUGUUUACCAAAUGGAAACAUCAUGAUAUAUUCUUAAAUUACCACAUAGCAUAUUUGAAAAUACUCCAAACUAAAAUUAGCUACAAUGUACUAGAAGUGGAAGAAAAAUAUUUACUUUUCCAGAAAAGAAAAGGAAAGGAAAGGCUUUGUUCUGUUCAAUAGAAGAUGGAAUUUGACAAAUUUGAUGAUUCAAGAUAGGUUUUAAAAAUCUCAUAGGGAACUGAUCGCAUUUCCUGAAUUAGCCCAUUUUUGUGGCCAUGAAACACACAACAGAUUUGUUCUGUAGUGCCAGAUUGUCACCACCAAUCUUUUUUCCUGUAACAAUAUGAUGCUUAAUGUCUUUCCUAUGCUUUUUAUAUACAAUCUCUUACUUUUGUGGGCAAUCAACCUUUUGGGAUCUGUCGAUGUGUGCUUCCAAAGUUUGGGCUCCAUGCCUGUCAUAACUUUACUUUGAUGUACAAAUGACAAACGGUUAUGCUGUGGUUUUGAUUCUUUUUUUUGGUUCUAUGUUGCAGGCAUGGUUAGCUACUAUCUCAUUGGCUCUAUGCAAGGUUUGUGUUUUGUGGGCAAGAAUGAUUCUCUUAUACUGCUUGGAAUGUUUAUUUGCAUUCUUUUAAGCUACUGUGCUCGCUUUGUUAUCCUGAUCAUCAGACGUACUCAUUUCUACUUCAUUUUAUAGGCUUUUGACCUUCUUGACAUGUUAAAGAAGGAAGAAGAAAUGCUUCUGGCAGUAAAAGAAAGGCAAGCGAAGGUAAAACAAAUGAAUAAACUUUGCCAAUGUCUUGUCAAUAGUAUCUUUGGUUGAUCCUUUCCAGUAUCAUAUUGACCUUUUAACCUUUCUUCUGUAACCGUUCUGUAACCUUAUACAAUUAUUGAACUUCGCUUUGGAUAAGCCUUGAGCUUAUGUUGUAGUAGGGCUUACCUUCACCAAGUAGAUAGCUGGAUAGUUGUAUACAGUAAUUCCGUUUGAAAAAAAAUAUACACCGGAUUCUGAGUUUGGACAUACAAUUAAAUUAAUUGUCAUAAUAUGAUAAUAACUUGCCAUUGCAAGUAUUUCAUCACACUUCUCUCUCUCUGUGUGUGUGUGUGUGUGUGUGUGCAGAGUGCUGAGUGUUUUGUUGUUACUACAUGCAAGUAAUAUUAGAUAUUUGAUUUUGUUUUCAUGAUCCUUUUGUAGCACUCGAUGGUAGAUAUUCUACCGUAAGAAAAAAAAGAAGAUUUUUUUUAUCUUUGCUCCCAUUGUGUUGCAUAUCUGUUUCAAUAAACUCUGCACUUACAUGGAGGUUUCCUUUAGUAAUGAAAUAAUUGCCUGCUUAUGAUGUUUUAGGAUGGUAAUGCAUUUGCUCGUGAAAUGCUUGAUGAACGUACAAAAAAGGCUGAAGCAUGGCACCAUAAUGCUGCCAACCGUGCACCAUAUUCCAAGCCAGCUGAUCCAAUCACUUGUGCAACAUUUGCUCAAGAUGUCAUUGAAGGUAGAGCAAGUGUUUCACAAGCACAUGAGCACAAACACCAGCCGCUGAUAUUUGGCCCUGCAAGUCUUGUUGGUGGAGGACUAACCAGUGAAAGAGAGAGAAUGGCAGCACAAGUUUUUCAGCCAAGUUACAGGUAUGCUUUAAAAUACUGCUACGUACCUGGCUGAAAACUGCACUGCUUCUUUUAAUAUUUGUGGAGGGGGCAUUAUUUGUGGCAACUUUUAAUGCAUCAUAUUAGUCAUACUUUGAUAUAUUUGUAGGAACUUUGACCUCCUAUUCCAUUGAGCAUUACUCGAUGAGCAAAUUAUUUCUUGGUAAAUUUGUAAAGUGGUUCUUUACAUUGUAUUUGCUUCACCACAUUAGUAUGUGACUGUGUUUAUUCAAUCGUAGGUGUUUCCUUGUUCUAUUGUUGUAUGUUCUGCCAUAAGUCUGUGACAAAUUUGUGGUUUACAUUGUUGAUAUCAUUCUUUUUUUUUCAUGCUGGAAAGGCACCAUGUUAAAUUUGCUACUCAGUGCAAUACUAGAUUCACUGACAAUAAACUGUUGUCUUGUACUCUGUUGUGACUACGAACGCUUGGUGCAAUCGUAUAGAUGCUGAGAUAGUGAUUUGUAGGUGCGACCUUAUGUUUAGUCAUAAUCCAUGAAAAAUUCCAAGAAAUGGUACUAUUCUGCAAUUGCUCAUAAAAAACAUUAGAUUUCCCCUGCAGCAACUAAGUGUUGAGCUGUAGAUCAUCUCUAUUAAAGUGAUAUUGCAUUGUUCAGUAAAAGUUAGUGAAAAUAUGCAUAUGAGACUAUCCUUUGAUCCAAUUAUUCUGUUUCCAUUUUUCCUGUAUUUGGACUAUUAGGUUGCCAACGAUGAGCAUAGAAGAAGCUGGCUUACGUGAGAUGAAAAUGAUGGAGAAAUGGCAAGAAAGAACUGCUAAGAUGAUUCAAGAAUCAAACUCCGCAUGGCACAAGGAUGGCAGUCGGUCAGCCCAAGAGGAUGAGGACGCUGAAGAGGAGAAAGCAAGAGCAUGGGAUGACUGGAAGGACGAUAACCCUCGUGGUGCAGGCAACAAGAAGCUCACUCCCUGUGGCUAGAUUAUAUGCUAUGGCAAUUCUAUUGAACUUAGAUCUGAAACUGUAGCUCUUGUAAAAAUAUGUGGUUUUUUACUUUCCUUACUGCGGCAUUUGUUGACUGUUGAGUAAUAAUGUGUUCCAUAUGCCUAUUGUAAUGGUGCAUGGUUUUCUUCUGCCAAUAUAUUGGGAAGUAAUGCCAAAAAAAAGCUGGUUUGAGAAGCAAGCUUACCUGCUCGGUACAAAGAUCUUAUCUGCUCGGUACAAGUAUGUUACACUCGUCAGCCAUGCCCAAAGGGUAGAUCACCCUAUUGGGCAUGUUUGGCUUAGAGCAAGUUUAAUAGUAUAGUCAACUACUAGCUUCAAAAUAUCUCCAGCCAAUUCGGACAAUAGUUACUUAAAAAUAUAUACUACAUCAUUAAUAUCUGGUCUUAUAUCUCAUACAUACACAUCGUCUUGGAGUUUAUGCUACAGUUGACUACACAGUUUAUGCUACAGUUGGCUACAAAUAUGUAGCUCGCUUUUUCUCUCAUAUCUUAUCUUCUCUAUAUGUGCUUGUAGCUGACUUAAUAGUCUGUUAUUGUACUUGUUCUUAGCUCCAUGGAAGAUAUUUUUCUCGAGAUUAAGGUGUCCCAUUGCCCCAUAUUUGGUAAUAUUCAUCGAUGAUUAAAACGUUUCGAAAUGCUUGCGGAACUUAAAGUAGUCUUACACUUUGGUGGGUUUGCAGGGGGCACGAAGAAGACAAUUAUGUGACACAAAAGCCAAACAAAUGACAAACCCAACUUACUGCUAAUCGACCUGUUAUUACUCGAAGCAGCUUGCAAUAAUUUGAUUCAUAGAAUUACAGUACACAUAUCCUUCACAUAUUUCAUGAAUACUACACAUGUCCAGCUGUUCGCUUCAAACAUGAAUACAUGAUAGUUACUUCUAUUCUCCUUUUUGUCGUAAAAGCUGUGGAUGAAACAACAAGCCAGUUCCUUCAAACUUGAUCUCGAUGAUCUCAUCAAUUUUCAUUGCCAUCUCCGGUGUCAGAUAGUUCCUCCAAUCUCCGACUACUCCACGCCGGAAGAAUAUGUUGUUCGGUACGUCUUUCUCGAUAAAGUCAGUUGUCCCCGACAGAUUCACCUCUAACCUCGACAAGCUCUCCAUGGCACAGAUCUCCACAAUCUUCCUAUCCACUCCAGCCUCUUGCUCCUCAACCGUGAACGGGUGCCCAACGAACUCGGCCAAACGUCUCAAUAGGCCAAGCGUGUCAGCGGCAAGCUCCUCGUAGGUCAAGAAGAACACCUGGCUUGGCAUCUCGACGUGCCACCGCCAGUAGCCGAGGACGUGCUCCCAAAACGGCCCGAAAUGCGAGAUGCCAUCGCAGAAUUGCCGGACAGCCACAUCAAUGUUCCAUGACAUGAAUCUAUUCCAGAAGUGCCAGAGAGAGACAAAACAAUCCUUGGGAUCCCGGCACAGGUACACCACCUUGCUGCCGGAGGCGGCAAUGGAGUCCGGCAGCGAUUGGGCCGGGAUGUGCGUCGUCAAGAGCCUUGGUUCCGGGAGCGAGCUCAGAUCGGGGAUGCGGUCGUUGACGAACAACUGGGACUCCAGAAAAGGGACGCUAGCUCGUGGGCGUCGUGGUGGAGAGCAGAGUACAUAAGCGCCUUGAGCCAUGUGGUGCCGGACUUGGGGAAGGUGGCGAUGAAGACGUCCGUGGUGCGCGCCAUCAGAUGCCUCUUGAUGGCCAUGGCGCUCACAACCCCCCGCCUGGACAUGUACCAUCCGUCAGGGUGGCGACAGUUGUUGGAAUUAAUGAAUGGGCCUUAGCCCACUCGAAGAUUAAUUCUUUGGAAAAUCACAAAAGCCCACCUCAUGGAAUGGCAUGCAUGUGGAGUUUAGUACCACCUUGCUUAUUCUAGGAGAGGGGGACCUCCUUAAAAGGGAGGAUGCCCUCCUAGCCACUUGAAGCAUGUGUGGUGGAGAGAAGAGGGGAAACACACGCGCGCGCUCGGCUCGCCUGGCAGGGCAGGGCAGGCGGCGCGCGUGCACGACGUACGCGUCGAAUGGUCCGAAAAAAUUGGCUCCUCACCCUUGCGCAGAUGCAGCCUCCUUUUGCAGUUUUGUUUUGCUGCAAAUUCGGAUUCGUUUUGUUUUGGAAACGUUCCGAAAAAUCCGGUGCGUGCAAACGGCGUGGAGUCCGGAUAAGUUACGCGCGACUUAUCCGGUUCGGUUACGCGCAGUAGAGAUCGUGCGGGCGCCCUGAUCAAGCGACCCUUCUCUAUAUAAACCGACCCGCCGUCUUCACGCAAUAUAUGCGAAAAUCAAUCUAGGGUUUGCCUCCUACUCUGUACUGCGCCGUCGCUCGUAGACUACUCCAUCCCGCUCGCCGGCGUGCACCAGCGAUCGGGAGAGCAGGUCUCCGGAACCUCUGCCUUUGACGUCCUGCACCGGGAGAAGGCGGCAAUAAGGUUUUUGGGAAGCGCUUCGCGUGACUGCUCCCUGUUCGUUCACGACGGCUCGCCUUCCUCUUCGCUCGCAUGUUUCGUGCCUUCGUAGACACCUGCGAAAAGUUUCGACCAAGCAGCCGGUCUUUUCGUCACCUCGGUACGUGUUCAAUAUGUUGCGCAUAUUUGAUCUGUUCAUGUUAUUCUGCGUAGUUUACAUGUGUAGAUCUAAUGAUGCGUUCAUGCUAGUUUUCAUCUGUAAUGUCAUGAUUUAUUUAUGGAAUAAAUUAAAUCAUUAUAUGCCUAUAAUCUCAACAAUCCAAAAACCUUAUUAUAGGCACUGUGAUUUUACUAUGGCUGGUUUUGCCGAUGCACUGAGGCCGGAUAAAUUCACCGGUGUGCAUUUUAAGAGAUGGCAGAUCAGGGUCACUCUGUGGCUGACAGCUAUGAAAUGCUUCUGGGUGAGUACUGGCAAACCUGAAGGAGUUCUUACUGCUGAACAGCAGAAGCAAUUCGAGGAAGCCACUACUCUCUUUGUGGGAUGCAUUCUUAGCGUUCUUGGCGAUCGUCUGGUCGAGGUGUAUAUGCAUAUGACCGACGCUAAGGAGUUGUGGGAUGCACUGAAUACUAAAUUCGGUGCUACUGAUGCUAGCAAUGAUCUGUAUAUCAUGGAGCAGUUUCAUGACUACAAAAUGGCUGACAACCGUUCUGUAGUCGAACAGGCUCAUGAGAUAUAAACCAUGGCUAAGGAACUCGAACUCCUUAAGUGUGUCUUACCCGACAAAUUUGUGGCCGGGUGCAUUAUUGCAAAACUUCCUCCAUCUUGGAGGAGUUUCGGUACUGCACUCAAACACAAGAGACAGGAAUACUCCGUUGAGGGGUUGAUUGCGUCUCUUGAUGUUGAGGAGAAAGCUCGGGAAAAAGAUGCCGCGUCUAAGGGCGAUGGUGGGCAGUCCAGUGCCAAUGUUGUGCACAAGGCCCAGAACAAGAGCAAGGGGAAAUACAAAGCUCAGCAGACCACCAACUUCAAGAAGCAGAAGAAGAACAACAACAAUCCUAAUCAGGAUGAGAGGACUUGCUUUGUGUGUGGCCAAGUUGGUCAUCUGGCUAGGAAGUGUCCACAACGCAAGGGGAUGAAGGCACCUGCAGGGCAGACUUCUAAGUCUGCUAAUGUGACCAUUGGCAACACUGGAGAUGGAAGCGGGUAUGGUAAUUUACCUACUGUUUUUUCAGUUAAUCAAUCUACUAAUUGGUGGGUUGAUACUGGGGCCAAUGUACAUGUUUGUGCUGACAUCUCAUUGUUUUCUUCUUAUCAGGUCGCACGGGGUUCCACCGUCCUAAUGGGGAAUGGGUCACAUGCUUCUGUUCAUGGUGUUGGCACGGUAGAUCUGAAGUUUACUUCGGGAAAGAUCGUGCAGCUGAAGAACGUGCAGCAUGUCCCUUCUAUCGACAGGAAUCUUGUUAGUGGCUCCCGUCUGACUAGAGACGGAUUUAAGUUGGUUUUUGAGUCUAAUAAAGUAGUCGUGUCUAAACAUGGAUAUUUUAUUGGUAAAGGUUAUGAGUGCGGAGGCCUGUUCCGCUUUUCCCUUUCUGAUUUCUGCAAUAAGUCUGUGAACCAUAUUUGUGGCAGUGUGGAUGAUGAGGCUAAUGUUUGGCAUUCACGUUUAUGUCAUAUUAAUUUUGGCUUGAUGUCUCGGCUUUCCAGCAUGUGUUUAAUUCCUAAGUUUUCCAUUGUCAAAGGUUCUAAGUGCCAUAGUUGUGUGCAAUCGAAGCAACCUCGCAAGCCUCACAAGGCUGCCGAGGAGAGAAACUUGGCACUACUAGAACUCCUACAUUCAGAUCUUUGUGAAAUGAAUGGGGUGUUGACGAAGGGUGGAAAACGAUAUUUCAUGACAUUGAUUGAUGAUGCUACUAGAUUUUGCUAUGUGUACUUGUUGAAAACGAAAGACGAGGCUCUAGACUAUUUUAAAAUUUAUAAGGCAGAAGUUGAAAAUCAACUUGACAGAAAGAUAAAAAGGCUUAGGUCUGAUCGUGGUGGAGAGUUUUUCUCGAACGAGUUUGACUUAUUCUGUGAGGAACAUGGCAUCAUACAUGAGAGGACGCCUCCCUAUUCUCCCGAGUCUAAUGGGAUUGCUGAAAGGAAGAACCGCACACUGACUGACUUGGUGAAUGCCAUGUUGGACACCGCGGGACUGCCUAAGGCAUGGUGGGGGGAGGCAUUGUUGACCUCAAAUCAUGUGUUAAACAGAGUUCCUAACAGAAAUAAGGACAAAACACCAUAUGAGAUAUGGAUUGGUAGAAAACCAUCACUUUCUUAUCUGCGCACAUGGGGGUGCUUGGCGAAAGUCAAUGUACCAAUAACGAAGAAGCGCAAACUUGGACCUAAGACUGUGGACUGUGUUUUUCUGGGAUAUGCUCAUCAUAGCAUUGCCUAUAGAUUUUUAAUAGUUAAAUCCGAGGUACCGGACAUGCAUGUUGGUACAAUUAUGGAGUCUCGUGAUGCUACCUUCUUUGAGAGCUUUUUUCCAAUGAAGGAUACACAUAGUGGUUCGAACCAACCCUCUGAAAUAAUUCCCAGUUCAAUCACACCACCAGAACAAACUGAACAUACACAUGAACUUGUCUCUGAGGAGGAUGUCAGUGAAGCUCCUCGAAGGAGUAAGAGACAAAGGACGGCUAAGUCUUUUGGUGAUGAUUUCACUGUGUACCUCGUGGAUGACACUCCUAAGUCAAUUUCAGAAGCAUAUGCAUCUCCUGAUGCAGACUACUGGAAGGAGGCUGUCCGUAGUGAAAUGGAUUCCAUUAUCGCUAACGGGACUUGGGAGGUGACAGAGCGACCCUAUGGGUGUAAACCUGUGGGGUGCAAGUGGGUGUUCAAGAAGAAGCUUAGGCCUAACGGUACUAUUGAAAAGUACAAGGCUCGGCUUGUUGCUAAGGGCUAUACUCAGAAAGAAGGCGAAGAUUUCUUUGACACUUACUCACCUGUUGCUAGAUUGACCACAAUUCGUGUGCUACUUUCCCUAGCAGCCUCACAUGGUCUUCUCGUUCAUCAAAUGGACGUUAAGACAGCUUUUCUUAAUGGAGAGCUGGAUGAGGAGAUCUAUAUGGAUCAACCUGAUGGGUUUGUAGUUGAAGGUCAAGAAGGCAAAGUGUGCAAAUUGUUGAAGUCUUUGUAUGGUCUGAAACAAGCUCCUAAGCAAUGGCAUGAGAAAUUUGACAAAACAUUGACAUCUGCAGGCUUUGCAGUCAAUGAGGCAGAUAAAUGUGUGUACUAUCGCCAUGGUGGGGGUGAGGGAGUUAUUUUGUGCUUGUAUGUUGACGACAUACUGAUAUUUGGGACAAACCUUGAGGUGAUAAAUGAGGUUUAAUCAUUCUUGUCUCAAAAUUUUGAUAUGAAAGAUUUGGGAGUAGCUGAUGUUAUCUUAAACAUUAAGCUAAUUAGAGGUGAGAAUGGGAUUACUCUCUUGCAGUCCCAUUAUGUGGAGAAGAUCUUGAAUCGCUUUGGCUACAUUGAUAGUAAGCCUUCUCCAACACCUUAUGAUCCUAGCUUGUUGCUUCGCAAGAACAAGAGAAUUGCUAGGAAUCAACUGGAAUACUCCCAAAUCAUUGGCUCGUUGAUGUACCUGACUAGUGCAACUAGGCCUGAUAUCUCCUUUGCUGUGAGCAAGUUGAGCCGAUUUACUUCUAAUCCGGGAGAUGAUCACUGGCGUGCGCUUGAGCGAGUAAUGCGCUAUCUGAAAGGUACUGUGGAAUUGGGGCUUCACUAUACUGGGUAUCCUGCGGUACUGGAGGGUUAUAGUGAUUCUAACUGGAUCUCUGAUGUGGAUGAGAUCAAAGCCACUAGUGGAUAUGUUUUCACACUGGGUGGUGGUGCUGUUUCAUGGAGGUCUUGCAAACAGACAAUUUUGACGAGGUCAACCAUGGAAGCAGAACUAACGGCACUGGAUACUGCUACUGUUGAGGCAGAAUGGCUGCGUGAUCUAUUAAUGGAUCUGCCUGUUGUUGAAAAACCGGUGCCGGCUAUCCUUAUGAACUGUGACAAUCAAACGGUAAUUGUCAAAGUGAAUAGUUCUAAGGAUAAUAUGAAAUCGUCUAGACAUGUGAAAAGACGAUUGAAGUCUAUCAGGAAAUUAAGAAACUCCGGAGUUAUAACGUUGGAUUACAUCCAAACAGCGAGAAACCUGGCAGAUCCCUUUACGAAGGGACUAUCACGAAAUGUGAUAGACAAUGCAUCGAAGGAGAUGGGUUUGAGACCCAUGUGAGUUAUACUAUGGUGGUAACCCAGUCUAUGUGAUCGGAGAUCCCGUGAAUUAGAUCCUGGGAAGAACAAACCAUUAAUAAACUAGAGGAGAGUACCAAUAUAUAUACCCUAUCCAAGUGAAGAUGCAUAUACUCUCGUGAGCUGCAAGGCAGGUUGGCUAUGCUUUAAUGAGUUCUGUUGGCUUUAAUUAGCAAAGAUGUUGUCCUGCAGAGCAUUCUUGAAGGAACUCACCUUUGUGAGCUUGACUGUUGGUCGCAGUCUAUGAAGAUUUUGGGUGAAUCUUCUAGGAAGCUUACUAAAGACCUAGGAGUAUGACUUAUACGCUCCACCCGAGGGGUAGUCUACAGACGGUCUAGUACCAGAUAAGACUUUGAGUGAAACUUGCUUGCACAAGACUUGCAAUUCAAGGCGUAGUCCAUUGUUCAAGUUGUGAGUAAGUGUAGCUUGGAGUUCUAGGUGGAUGUUCAACCUUAAUUGGUCUCCAUCGAACCGCUGGUAUAUAAACAGUACAUUGGAAAAGGCAAAUCUCAGUGGGAUUUUGAGAUUUGGUGGGGGAUUGUUGGAAUUAAUGAAUGGGCCUUAGCCCACUCGAAGAUUAAUUCUUUGGAAAAUCACAAAAGCCCACCUCAUGGGAUGGCAUGCAUGUGGAGUUUAGUACCACCUUGCUUAUUCUAGGAGAGGGGGACCUCCUUAAAAGGGAGGAUGCCCUCCUAGCCACUUGAAGCAUGUGUGGUGGAGAGAAGAGGGGAAACACACGCGCGCGCUCGCUCGCCUCGCCUGGCAGGGCAGGGCAGGGCAGGCGGCGCGCGUGCACGACGUACGCGUCGAAUGGUCCGAAAAAAUUGGCUCCUCACCCUUGCGCAGAUGCAGCCUCCUUUUGCAGUUUUGUUUUGCUGCAAAUUCGGAUUCGUUUUGUUUUGGAAACGUUCCGAAAAAUCCGGUGCGUGCAAACGGCGUGGAGUCCGGAUAAGUUACGCGCGACUUAUCCGGUUCGGUUACGCGCAGUAGAGAUCGUGCGGGCGCCCUGAUCAAGCGACCCUUCUCUAUAUAAACCGACCCGCCGUCUUCACGCAAUAUAUGCGAAAAUCAAUCUAGGGUUUGCCUCCUACUCUGUACUGCGCCGUCGCUCGUAGACUACUCCAUCCCGCUCGCCGGCGUGCACCAGCGAUCGGGAGAGCAGGUCUCCGGAACCUCUGCCUUUGACGUCCUGCACCGGGAGAAGGCGGCAAUAAGGUUUUUGGGAAGCGCUUCGCGCGACUGCUCCCUGUUCGUUCACGACGGCUCGCCUUCCUCUUCGCUCGCGUGUUUCGUGCCUUCGUAGACACCUGCGAAAAGUUUCGACCAAGCAGCCGGUCUUUUCGUCACCUCGGUACGUGUUCAAUAUGUUGCGCAUAUUUGAUCUGUUCAUGUUAUUCUGCGUAGUUUACAUGUGUAGAUCUAAUGAUGCGUUCAUGCUAGUUUUCAUCUGUAAUGUCAUGAUUUAUUUAUGGAAUAAAUUAAAUCAUUAUAUGCCCAUAAUCUCAACAACAGUAUGGUUGGCCGAUGCCGCUGACUGCCGCCGGGAAGGUCUCCACGACUUGCCGGAGUUGGUCAUAGAUUUCCAUGUGAGACGUUCCGUCGGCCGCUUCGGCAGUUGAGGAGGAAGCCAUGAAGUGUGUAGUCCUACGAAAACAAUAAUGAGUCUUAGUCCCGUGAACCUGACAAUAUAUGAUUGAGAUGUAACUUGCAAACAUGCAUCUAAGAGAAGAGACAAAUCCCAGCAGAGUUCUCAAGCUAGCUGGCACUGAUAAUCCACCAUUAAUUGAUUGUUAGAGUCUGUACAUCCGUACUUAUGUGACCUAUUUUUCAUUCCUUAAUUCCCUCCUCUCAAAUUAUGGUGUUAGGUUGAGAAAUUUCAUGAACAUGGGGGUUAAACUUUACCUUGCAAAAAAAUGCUGUUUUUUCUGAGGGACAAAUUUAUCAUGGUGUCUAGUAGUAAGAUCAGCUUUAAUUAACUAUGCGCACCGAAACAAGGGUUUGGUAGUGAUGUAAUUGUGAAUUACAGUCUUUCUUUUCAGAGAUGAAAUCAUGCAAACUACUUUCUAGACUAGAAGGUAAUGGACAAUCAUCUCAAUAAAGUAUAUAUACGACAUACUCCUAGUUGCUAAGUGUAAGAUCAGUUCAGCUAACUAUAGAUGUGACUCGAAAAAAUAAUUUGGAGGAAAACAAAUGGAAGAGCAGAUUAGCAGGUCCGUAGCAUAUCAUCCUUAUAGCCUUGGACAGUUGGACUAGAAUCGCAGUUUCUCUUUGCUCGUGCCUCCCUAUGCCAAUUGAGGUAGCUCGUUUUACUGCUCUAAAAUAAAUUGUUUUGGACAUUGAAUGGUCCUUCGGUUCAAGUAAUAAUCAAUGGUUUAAUGUUUUUUGCUUUUUUCCCUCAGUAUUUUUAUUUUUAUUUCUAAUUUAUUAGAGUGUCACUUGGUGGUAUAGAAAUGUUUCGGAGGAUGUUUAAUAAUCUUUAGCAUAUCAAGAAACAGUGUGGAUCAUUUGAACGUUAUUAGUGAAUUUUGAUGAAUGAUCUGAAAACUGUAUGACGAUAGUUACGUACACCAAACUAAUCCACAAAGCCAAACAACCUAACAACCCAACUCACGGCUAACCGGCAACAUUUUAUUAUAUUACUUGCAAUGAUUUGAUUUACAAAUUUCCAGUACAUAUAUGUAUUUCUUCACUCGUGAAUACGCAAGAGAUUGUAUCUCUAUUAAACACCGAAAACGGCACACAAACUAUUUUUUGAAAGAAAAAACAUAUACUCCUAGUUUGUUUUAAUUUAUUCUCUUUUUACUUGUAAAAACUGCGGAUGUAACAACAAGCCAGACCCUUUAAACUUGCUCUUUGUAAUCUCAUCAAUCCUCCUUGCCAUCUCUGGCGUCAGGUGGUUUCUCCAAUCUCCGACCACGCCACGCCGGAAGAACGUGUUGUUUGGGACAGUGCUAUCGACUAUGGUGAUCGUUCCCGACCGAUUCACCUCUAAUCCGGACAUGUUCUCCAAUGCGCAGGCCUCCACGAUAUUCCUAUCCACCCCGUGCUUCUGCUCCUCCGUCGUGAAUGGACAUCCGACAAACUCGGCAAGGCGUCUCAACUGGCCGAGUGUGUCGGCGGCGAGCUCCUCGUAGGUCAAGAAGAGUACCUGGUUCGGCUUCUCGACGUGCCACCUCCAGUAGCCGAGGAUAUGCUCCCAGAACGGCCCAAACUGCGAGACGCCAUCGCAGAAUUGCCGGUGCGCCUCGUCGAUGUCCCACGGCAUGAACCUGUUCCAAAAGUGCCAGAGCGAGACGAAGCAGUCCUUGGGGUCCCGACAAAGGUACACCACCUUACAACCGGAUGUAGCGACGGAGUUUGGCAGUGACUGGGACGGGAUGUGCGUCAUAAACAACCGCGGCGAAGAUAAGGAGCUCAGGUCAGGGAUCCGGUCAUUGACGAACACCUGGGACUCGAGGAAAGGGACGAGCUGGUGCGGGCUGUGCGCCACCAGCUCGUCAGUUCCGCGGUGGAGAGUCGAGUACAGAAGCACCUUGAGCCAAGUGGUGCCGGACUUGGGGAAGGUGGUGAGGAAGAUGUCGGUGGCGCGCGCCGUCAGGUGCUCCUUGAUCACCAUGGAGCUCACAACCCCAUUCGUGAACGUGUACCACCCGUCCGGGUGGCGGCUGCACGGGAGGCCGAUGAGGCUGGGAGCCGACGGAAAGGUCUCUGCGACUCGUCGGAGUUGGUCGUAUAUCUCCUUAUGAGCUGUUGCUUCGUCGGCCGACUCGGGUGCAGAAGAGAGCCGGAAGGAGGGCGCCAUGAAGAAUGAAUCCAGCAGAACACCAGUUAAUGAGCAAUGUAUUUUUUCUUUGAUCCAAUCAUACUCUCUGGGAGUAUGAAGUGCAAAUAUAUAGUACUAUCUCGGAGAGGAGAGUAGUCCGGAAGUAAUAAUAAAGUAUUCAAGUUGACAUUAAUUAGUAUUAACUUGUUAUUAUGUCUAGGUGUUAGCAUCUUUUUUAGAUCAUCAAAGAUUUCGUUGAACAAUAGCAUCUCUAGUUAUGUAGAUUAAUUUUAUCUCUUUUUCUUUCUUUAAUGCACGUGAUGCUCAACUUGAGCUUGAAAAAAGUUGUUAAUGCUUCGGAGGGUUAAAUUUACCGUGACAUAUGGAUUUAGCUCUUAGCGGAGGGCAUUAUCUUGUCCAUUGUAUAGUUUUUUCUUUACAAAGUUCCGGGGGGGGGGGGGGGGGAGUUUCCCCACCUGAAUUUUAUGAAAGGAAUGAAGACUUGCAGUUACAUCUUAGAUUACAGAGUUUCGAAAAGCAGACGAUAGUGUUUCCUUCCACGAGGAAACAAUGCCCCUAUCAUCCGAAUUGAAACGCUUUGCCCAAAGAGUUGCAUCAUCUAUACAUUUAGUUACUAGUCUACGCAAGGAUGUUUGCAGCCCCUUGAAAACAACAUCAUGCCUGUGGUUCCACAGGCCCCAAAAGCAGAGAAAGAAGAAGACUCUGAAGUGCUUGAUGGGAAUGCCAUCUAGGCGGCCUAAACUUGCGAGAUUGGCUGAGCUUGUCAGUCCUGGGACAAUCUAAAUGGUCGACCAGAACGUCUGAGAAAAAGAGCAAUCAACACAGAAAUGAAAAGCAUUUUCUUCUAAAACACCACAAAGAUCGCAGUUCACGGACGAAACAAUUUUCUUUUUGUACAGGUUCUGCUUUGUGGGGAGGCGUUCUUUAGAUAAUAACCAAAUGAAGAACUGAAUCUUCGGAGGAGAUUUACUUUUCCAAAUUAUUUUCCAAUUUUGGUCGUCUUGGCGGUCUUCAUGCAAGUACUCGUAGAUUUGCUUGGACUUCAAGAUGGUGGCGUGUGGAGCAUUGAGGGCUCCCCUUUCGUUCAGUUGAUCAACUUAGUACGAAAUCACUCAAAGCGAGAAGGAGAUGUUGUAGCUGAGAAGGAGAUCUUGUCCAUUGUAUAGUGAUAGCAGAUGGUGGUAUUAUCUUGCUCAUUGUAUUAUGAUUGAUGACAAUCGUGAGAACGAUGUAUAUCAAAAUACAUUCAAUGUUAUAUUUAAUGAAACUAAUUUAGUAUUAUUGCUAAUUAUUUUUAUAGAUAGAUUUGAUAAAAUGUCAAAACGAUUGAUAAGAUGAAACGAAUGGAGUAGUUGCUAAGUUAGUGAAACCUAUAUAAUCUUGGACAUAGUAAACUAUGACAAAAUAUGACUGGCAACCUAACGCGUCGUAUUUUACUAUGACAUUGAUGAGUGGAUUAGCUCUUAGCAAGAUGCAUUAUCUUGCCCAUUUUAUAGUAUAUAUACACUACACUGAUCAGAAGAUAUCAUUAGGAUCUUACGAUGAAAAUUAUUGAUCGAACAUGAUAAGACAAGCGUUAUUAAUUAUCAACCUAAAGCACCAAAGUGUACUGAUCAUUUAUAGUUUAGCAGUAAGCUUGUAGACUUCUAGUUUGGUUAGUUACACCCACCGAUAUGACAACGAUAUAAUAACUAGGAAUUGCAUAGUGUUGUAUUUCAGAUAUACAUCAUGCAAAACUAGUACUCCAUAAGAUAUGCGAACGUGGUUGCGAAGCGUAACAGUAGGUCAGAUCGAUCCAUUAUUAAUUACACAGAAAGAAAUAUCUAGUAUACUUUAUAAACCAAACUUGAAGAAUAGCCGAGUGUAUCUGCACGCUUCUAAACAUGACAUCCAUCAGCAAAAUUGCAAAGGACGGCUGCAAAUUAAAGGUGAGAUCACCAGGCUACAUUCAUUAAUUACCUAUCAGUCCAGCACGACAUUUUAGAGCAUCAUAUCGAUCAUAUCUUGCUAUAAAAUUAUAACCCACUAAUCUUAAAGAUCAAUAUAUAAACAUGUCACAUCAUUAUCCACUAGCAAUAAUUACAUAUAAAACUUAUGUAAGCAUGCAAUAUCAUCUAUAAUUCAUUGAAUUUUACAAAUCAUCAUCCAAUCAUCUUCCUUCACAUUAUUUUUAACAAUAUGCAUUUUUAACAAUAUGCAUAUAUGUAUCCAUCAUUUUUAUAAUACUUAAUAUAUAUUCAUCCAUAUAAUCAAGUGCGGGAUAUCAUAUUUCAUCUAUAAUUUCAUACAUAGUCUGCUAAAUGUAUCUCUCUGAAUAUAGUUUGACAAACCAGUUUUAUUUAUUGUUAAUAACUAAUAUAAUUUUUACUUUUAUCUCGAUUAUUAAAAAAUAUUUAAAGUUACAUAGAAAUUUCCACAGCAAAGCGCGGGGAAUCACCUAGUAUCUUUAAGGCAUACACCCUUCGUUCAAAAAGAAUCAUUUCUAUGGAUGAAUCUAAAUAAAUGCAUAUCCAGAUUCCUAAUAAGAAGUACCGCCGAACACCACCAAACACGACUUUGCAAACACAUAGAAACAAUGGAGUAUGUGGACCUUGCCGACACAAUGAGCAAUGCAUCAUCUGAGAGAGACAACCGCCGCAACGGGUGACCAGAUUCUCGGUGUAGAUGACCCAAGGUUCCUCGUCGUGCAUUGCGUCAAGCAGAUCUAGGGCCGAAGGGCGUGUUCUAAAAAAAAAGAAAGGCAAUGGCUCAAGAACUUCACUGCAAAUAUGCGGAUCUUACACUUUGGAACCAAAAUGGGAUAGCGGCAAACGUGUGCUUGGACCAUUAUAAGUUGGGCCGGAAUGGUACUGGGACCUCGGUGAGGGCCCUUUUUUUCCUCAAUGUGACUGAAGCCAACAUGAGACCCAUGAUAGGUUGAUCGGCUUCCGAUCGGCUCCUUUUUUUUAAAGGAACACAACAGGGGAGGCACCUGUUGUUUGGGAAAACUUUAUUAAUAAAGUAAAAGGGGUCUGAAAAGAAAAUUGCAACAAACUAAUCCAGCUCAUGGCUACAUUUUUGUCUCUCUUAUUCAAUCUCAACAACAAAAGGAGAAGAUUACCCUGAAGGAGCUGCCUCCAAGAAGUUGUGCCGGAAUGGGUUUACCACUUACAUGCAGGCUGGGCCGGAACCAUCGGUACGCCAGAACGACUAUACACGUAGGUGAAUCCAAAUCGCAAGACAUAACCGACGUUUCAUUUUUUGUAUUUUCUAGUUAAUCUAUGCUUUUCUAGUUAAUGAGGCCGAGGAUGUAGUCGUUGAUGAACAGCUGCGACUCGAGGAAAGGGACGAGCUGGUGGAAGGACUGUGCGCCACCAGCUCGAUCGUGAGUGCCACAGUGGAGAGCGGAGUUCAGAAGCACCUUGAGCCAAUGAGCCAUGUGCUGCCGAGUGAAGAAGCUAGCGCCCUGAUCCAAUGAACCAUGUGGUGCCGGACUUAGAGAAGGUAGCGAUGAAGACGUUGGUGGCACGCGCAGUCAGAUGCCUCUUGUUGAGCAUGGCGCUCACAACUCCCUGCCUGGACAUUUACCAGCCAUCGGGACGGCGGCAGCAUCAGCAUGACUUGCUCUGACUUGUUGAUCCGUCGGCCACUUGGGCCGUUGAGGAAUGAGGAGGCGACCAUCACUAGUACAAAUCCUUCUAUCUGUGACGGGCUCUAAUAUGCUUAGAAAUAGCGGGCCGUCACAAGGAAGUCAUCUUAAUCGAGCCGAAAAGUGCCCGAUUAAGAUAUGGUCGUACAGACAUGUUAGAUGGGUAUAAAACUUAAACCCGUCACGAAUAACACCUAUCAGUGACGGGCCACAACUUUAGGCCCGAUUGAGAUAACAUUCCAUAUCUCAAACGGGCCUCAAGUUGUGGCCCGUCACAAAUGACCAUCAUCUGUGACAUGCACCAUCUUGAGGCCCGUUUAAGAUAACAACUAGGCCCGUUACAGAUGACUCAUCAGUGACGGGCUAUAUACUUAAUCUCUAUCGGGCAUGAACUAAAACCCGUCACCGAUGACUAUUUUUCCAUUUUUCAUAUGAAAUGUUUAUAUUUGUAAGUUAACUAUAGCAAAAUAAUUUUACGGGUAGUAAAUGAUUUCAAAUGGAAAAAAUGUCAACAAUAAAGUUGUAUAACUUAUCAAUAUUUACAACUUUUAGUUUGGUCAUUUUUCAAUAUAACAUUUUUUUGAACAAUUUGAAUUUGAAUUUAAAAAUAUGACAACUUCAAACAACAUUUUCAAAUACUAAUGAUUUCAAUUGAAAAAGUCAUCAACAACAAAGUUGAAUAACUCAUCAAGAUCUAAAACUUUUAUUUUUGUUAUUUCUUCAUCUGACGAAAUGUUAGUAAUAUUAUUCACAAAUUUUACAUAUAUGUGUUAUAGUUUAUAAAACCAGAUAAGAGAUAUGUCAAUUUUGUGAACAAUGUUACUAUCACUUUGUCGUAUGAAGAAAUGACCAAAAUAAAAGUUUUAGAUCUUGAUGAGUUAUUCAACUUUGUUGUUGAUGACUUUUUCAGUUGAUAUCAUUUAGUAUUUGAAAAUGUUGUUUGAAGUUGUCAUAUUUUUAAAUUCAAAUUCAAACGGUCCAAAAAAUGUUAUAUAGAAAAAAUGACCAAAAUAAAAGUUAUAGAUUUUGAUGAGUUAUACAACUUUGUUAUUGAUGACUUUUUCAGUUGAAGUCAUUCACUGAUCUAAAAUUCUAUUUGAACUUUUCAAACUUUGAAUUUCAAAUUUCAAAUUGUUUAAAUAGAGUCAGAUGGAGAAAUGACCAAAAUAAAAAAUUUGCAUCUCGAUGAGUUCUACAACUUUGGUUUUGGUGACUUUUCCAUUUGAAAUCAUUUAAUAACCCCAAUUUGACAUCCUGGCCUAGGGCAUAAUAAGAUUAAUAGAAUACUCAUACCAACAUAUUACAAUUACUUUUCCGGAAGCCAAUCUCUAAAGAACUUUGACAUUAAGUGUGCUUGGUCUGGAGCACCGAUUGAGAUAGCUCUUCACAUCAGUGACUUCUAGCCUGUGACGGACGCCAUGCCCGAUUGAGAUGGGGCUUACCGCCCGAUUAAGUUGAGGGUAUCCGUUCUAGUGCAUGAAGAGUAUUCUAUGCAGAAUAUAUGAGCAUUACAGCAUAUGAGUGUAAGUUGCAAGUAUCUAAGAGAGGAGACAAAUCCCAGCAGAGUUUUUAAGCUAGCUGACACUGAUAAAUCACCAUUAAUUGAUUGUUAGGUUGUUAGCGUCUGUACAUCUGUAUGUGACCUCCCUCCAUUCAAGAAAAACUCAAUUCUGAAUAUGAACCUGAACACAUUAGAUUUUUUUCUUUGGAUGGAGAGAGUAUUUUUCAUUCCUUAUUCUCUCCUCUAAAAUUAUGGUGUUAGGUUGAGAAAUUUCAUGCACAUGGAAUUAAAUUUUACCUUGGAAAAAAAAUGUUGUUUCUAAGGGUCAAAUUUUAUCAUGGUUCCAAUAGGUGGAUUCAGCACUAUCGUAGGAUCCCAUUUUGGUGACAACAGAGAGUUUAGAAUAUCGAGAUGAUAUCAUUAGGCUUUUGCUCCAAAUUUACUGAUAAGAAUGUUGUUGUUAACGCAAAUCACUCAACUUAACUUCAGAUAAAAACACAAAUCACCCAACUGUAAUAAUAUUUACUACUCCCUCUGAUUUUUAACGUUUGACGCUCUUAUCCAACAAUCUUAAAGUUCUGUAAAUUUUGCUGGACCAUAUCUGCAAGUUGUACGAAGAAGAUAAUCGUGACACAAAACCAAUCCACAAAGCCAAACAACCAAAACAAACACAACUUACUACUAAUAGUAGUAGAGUAUUAUUCGAGGCAGCUUUCAAUAAUUUCAUUUAUAGACAUACAGUACACACGAUGUUUUCACUUUUUGUUUUCAUAAAUAGGCAAGAGGUUUGCAUGUUUUUUAUUAAGCAGAGAAAUAAGUACAAUAAUGAGAAGAUGUUCCUCCACUUCACACGUGAUCAUACUCCUAUAGUUCGUUUAAUUCUCUUUUUACUUGUAAAAACGGUGGAUGCAACAGCAAGCCAGAUCCUUUAAACUUGACCUCUGUAAUCUCAUCAAUCCUCCUCGCCAUCUCCGGCGUCAGGUGAUUCCUCCAAUCUCCAACCACGCCACGCCGGAAGGAUAUGUUGUUUGGCACGUCUUUCUUGGUGAAGUUGGUCAUCCCCGAUCGAUUCACCUCUAACCCCGAUAAACUUUCCAUGGCACAAAUCUCCACGAUCUUUCUGUCCACUCUGGCAUCCUGCUCCUCCGUUGUGAAUGGGCGCCCGACGAACUCGGCGAGGCGUCUCAGAUGGCCGAGAGUGUCAGCGGCGAGCUCCUCGUAGGUCAAGAAGAGUACCUCGCUUGGCCUCUCGACGUGCCAAUUCCAGUAGCUGAGGACGUGCUCCCAGUAAAGCCCAAACAACGAGACACCAUUACAGAAUUGUCGAUGUGCGUCAUCAAUGUUCCAUGGCAUGAACCUGUUCCAAAAGUGCCAGAGCGAGACGAAGCAAUCUUUGGGAUCCCGGCACAGGUACACCACCUUGCAGCCUGAGGCUGCGACGGAGUCUGGCAACGAUUGAGACGGGAUAUGCGUCAUCAACAGCCAUGGCUCCGGCAGGGAGCUCAAGUCAGGUAUCCGAUCUUUGACGAACACCUGAGACUCGAGGAAAGAGAUGAGCUGGUGGGGGCUAUGCGCCAGGAGCUCGUCAGCCCUGCGGUGGAGAGCCGAGUACGGAAGCGCUUUGAUCCAAGUGGUGCCGGACUUGGGGAAUGUGACGAGGAAGAUGUCGGUGGCGCGUGCCGUCAGGUGGCUCUUGACGACCAUGGCACUCACGACCCCCGCCGUGGUCAUGUACCAGCCGUCGGGGUGGCGGCUGUAUGGACGUCGAUGCCGCUCGGCGCCGUCGGAAAGGUCUCCGCGACUUGCCGGAGUUGAUCGUAGAUUUUCUUGUGGGCUUUUGCUUCGUCCGCCGCUUCGGUUACAGAGGAGAGCCGGAAGGAGGAAGCCAUGAAGAGUCCACACUAAACAGCAAUGAACAAAAUUAUGUGAUCUUGUGACUCUGCAGUGUGUAGAGUAGUGCAAAUCAAUAUACAUAUAGGUGAAGAGACACAAAUUUUACGCGUUCGCGAAAAAAGAAGAGACACAAAUCGGGAAGUCAUGAUCAGUGUUCAAAAACUGAUAAUGACAUUCUAACUUCCUGGCAUUAAUUGAGUUGUUCUCACACCUCUCUCUCUCUCUAUAUAUAUAUGACCUUUUUUUAGUGCACAUCGUGCUCAGCGUUAGCUUGCACAAAAGUAUUCAUGCUUACCAUGACGUCGUCACACGUAGUAUACUGAUCAGAAGAUAACAUUAUGGAGUACUCUUACUCCGAAAAAUAUGGAUCAAGCAUGAUAAUAGUGUACGUUACUGUCAACUUGUUUAUUAGUAAUAUCGGCUUCUAGUUUGAUAUACUACACAUACCGACACAUGGGAUUUGGCACUGAUAUAAUUAUUGCAAAUUGCAUUCCAAAAAUGCAUCGUGCCAUCGUGCAACCUACUUCCAUAAAAAACUCAAUUGUUGAUUUGGAUCUGGAUGUAGUGUAUGUCCAGAUUUAAACUCAAGAUUAAAAUUUUUAUGGGACAGAGAGAGUGUAGGAUCAUAAAAGGCCUUUUCCACCCCAAAAGGUAGCCAUUGAGAUGAGGGGCUCCUCCACUUAUAUCUUAGGUGCUUUGCCCUUCCACAAUCAAUGUGGGACUAUUCAACGGGGAGUACUAGUAAACAUCUAUUAAUUUAUCAAAGAAAUAGAAAAAGAAGCCUCCACGUUCGCUCUCAUGGGAGGAAUCUUCCCAUCGUGCGCCCGAUGCCCGGAAAAAAUCAGCCGGUCAAAUGUUUCUAUUAACUAACGAGUAAAACAUGUUAUAUAUGGUGAAAAAAAAGCAACUAAAACAUUUAAAAAUUUUACAAAACAUGGUGAAGAUACACGUUGAAACAUAUCGCUAUUGCAUAUAAUUAAAAUAGCUAAUCUUAAUGGAUUGAAACAUAUGUUUUUCUUUAAUCAAAAUAUAAUCAUGCGAUAUCUCGAUGUAAAGAUUUAAUUGUAACAAAUACACGGUGUGAUCGGAUCAUAGAUUGGAUAAAUAGUUUAGAAGAAAAAUCGUUUUGAAACUCGCUAAAAUGCAUGCAUGCAUGAGGUGGAGAGAGAGGAGUGAGAGUAGUGGCAGCAGGUAGUUUCAAGAAUUUUGUGAAACAUACUAACGACACCUAUUGAAACAUUUCACUAUCACGUAUGAAACAAUGAGUGUUAAUGGAUUGAAACAUAUAUUUUUUUCGCCAUAAUAUAAUAUUGUGAUAUCUUAUUGUAAAGAUUUAAUUACAAAGAAUACAAGGUGUGAUCAGAUCGUAGAUUGGAUAAUUAGUUGAGAAAAUUCAUUUUAAAACUCACUAAAAAGCAUGCAUGCAUGAAUGAGGUGGAGAGAGAGGAGAGGGAGAAGUGGUAGAUAGUUUCAGGAAUUUUGUAGAACACACUGAAGACACAUAUUGAAACAUAUCACUAUUACGUCUGAAACAAAGAGUGUUAACGGAUUGAAACAUAUAUUUUCCUUUUGUCAUAUUAUAAUCAUGUGAUAUAUCUAUUAUAUUAUUAAAACAGCCUUGAAAGAAGACAUCACGUUCACUGUGGGGGCUAGAAAUUCCCACAUUAAUCGGAGAAAAAGAAAAGAAGAGUCUAACUAGGAAUACAAUUUAAAAAAAGUGAAAUUCGAAAUUAUAAAUAAGCACUAUUGAAAGAAAAGUCCUCAUAGGAACACAAUACGAGAUUAAUUAAUAUUCAGCAUAAAAAAUAAAAUAAAAUCCGAAAUUAGCAAAAUAAAAAAAGAAAAAGAAGAGUUCGAGUAGAAAUACAAUUUUAAAAUAACUAAAAUUCGAAAUUAAAAUUAAGCAAAUUUGAAAGGAGAGUCCAUAUAAAAACCCAAUACGAGAUUAUUAAAAUUUGGAAUAAAAAUAAAAUAAAUUAGAAAUUAGAAAAAAGAAAAGAAAAUAAGAGCUAAAGUAGUAAUACAAUUUAAAAUUAACUAAAAUUCGGAAUUAAAUAUAAGCAAUAUUGAAAUAAGAGUACAUAUAAGAACCCAAUAGUAGAUGAAUUAAAAUUCGGAAUAAAAAAUAAAAUAAAAUCCGAAAUUAGACAAAUUAAAAAUAGAGUUCAAGUAGGAAUAUAAUUUUGAAAUGACUUAAACUUAAAAUAGAAAAUAAAAAUAUUAAAAGAACACAUUACAAUAUUAGUUAAAGUUUGAAAAAAAAUAAAAUAAAUUCUAAAAUUAGAAAAAGAAAAAAUAUUUCAACUAGAAAUAUAAUUUAUAAAUAACUAAAAUUGGUGAUAAAAAAAUAAAGACUAUUGAAAGAAAAAAGAUCAUCUAUAACACAUCACGAGAUUAAUUAAGUAAUAUGCCUAUAAAAGAGUAGAGUUGUGACGGUUGAUGGGACAUCUAAAAACUAUUAAUAAAACACCAAAUAGAAUUCUAAUGACGAUUAAAAGGAAGGACGACGGGAAGGUCGUGAAGCAAUCGGUCAAGGCGGUUGGCGGGACUUAUAGAAAGUAAAAAAAAAUAAAUCCAAUGAUAAUCAUAUUUGAUUUUGAAAAUUUCGACGAUAAUAAAAAUGAGAGGUAGUGAGCGGGUUGUAUAAGAUUACAAUGGCAGAGCCGCCGAUGGCUGGUGGGACUUCUAGAAAGUAAAAAAAAUAAAUUCCAACGAUAGUUAUGUUCAAUUUUUAGAAUCCCAAUGAUAAUAAAGAGUAGGCGGUGGAUGAGUCGUAGAGGAGUACAGUGGUAGAGUUUGACGGGAUUUCUAAAAAUUAUAUAUAAAAAAAGAAACCCAACGAAACAAUAAACUCUGAAACCUAUAAGAUCCAAUUUUUAAAGGUUCGUGCUUCUAAAGUAAAAAAGUAAACCCCAAUGAUAAUCUUGUUUGAUUUAAAAAUCUCAAUAACAAUAAAAAGGGCAACAGCGGGUGAACCGUAGAAGAGUACAGUGACAAAGUCGCUGACUUUUUGGCGGAACUUCUAGAAAGUAAAAAAUAAACCUAAAUAAUAAUUAUAUUCGAUUUUUAAAAUACCAAUGACAAUAAAAAGAAAAGGCAGUGGAUGGUUGUAGAGGAGUAUAAUGGCAGCGUUUGAUGAGACUUCUAUAAAUUAUAAAAGCGAAACCCAACAGUAAUUUGAGGAGCUUGCAAUAAUUUCAUUUAUAGACAUACAGUACAUUCUAUGUUUUCACUUUUUAUUUUCAUAAAUAGACACGAGGUUUGCUUUUUUUUUUUCAUUAAGCAAAGAAAUAAGUACAAUAGUGAGAUGUUCCUCCACUUCACUUGCCAAUAGUUCAUUUUAUUCUCUUUUUGCUUGUAAAAAUUGUGGAUGCAACAGCAAGCCGGAUCCUUUAAACUUGAUCUCCGUAAUCUCAUCAAUCCUCCUCGCCAUCUCCGGUGUCAGGUGAUUCCUCUAAUCACCGACCACGCCACGCCGGAAGAAUAUGUUGUUCACGUAGGUUUUAUCAACCAUGUCAGUUGUCCCCGACUGGUUCACUUCCAACCUCGACAAGCUCUCCAUGGCGCAGGCCUCCACGAUCUUCCUGUCCACUCCGAGCUCCUGCUCCUCCACCAUGAACGGGCAUCCGACGAACUCGGCUAGGUGUCUCAGUUGGCCGAGUGUAUCGGUAGUGAGCUCCUCAUAGGUCAAGAAGAGUACCUGGCUUGGUCUCUUGGUGUGCCACCUCCAAUAGCCAAGGACAUGCUCCCAGUACGGGCCAAACAGUGAGACACCAUCGCAGAAGUGUCGAUGUGCCUCGUUGAUGUCCCACGGCCUGAACCUGUUCAAGAAAUGCCAGAGCGAGAUGAAGCAGUCCUUGGAAUCCUGGACAACACCUAUCAUUUACAUACGAUUUAAAUAGUUAUAAAAAAAUUAAAAAAAAAUUAGUAACAUCAAUUGUGAUGAUAUAAGUCUACACACAAACAUGUAGGACUAAAUUUGAUUUACAACUAGAGAAACAAAAAUAAUAAAAUCAGACAGUGAAUAGUACCCGUACAGUGCAGAUAAAAUUUGUUAUUUUUGUUUCAUCAUAUAUCGAUCGAAUAUAGACUUGCAUGUUUGUAUAGUGUCUUAUAUUAUCAUAGUCUAUCUUACCAAAUUUUAUAAUUUUUUUAUAUAAAUGUUUAAAUUACAUACAUACACCUAGGUGCCAGGUGCCAUGGCAUCUAGGUGUAGAAAAUACUUUCUGUUGGGAUCCCGGCAUAGAUACACCACUUUGCAGCCGGAGUCGGCAACAGAGUCCGGCAACGACUGGGACGGGAUGUGCGUCAUCAAGAGCCGCGGCGCCGGGAGGGAGCUCAGGUCAGGGAUCCGGUCUUUGAUGAACACCUGGGUCUCAAGGAAAGGAACGAGCUGGUGGGGACUGUGCGCCGCUAGAUCGUUGGCCCCGCGGUGGAGAGCCGAGUGCAAGAGCGUCUUGAGCCAGGUGGUGCCGGACUUAGGGAAGGUGACCAUGAAGAUGUCGGUGGUGCGCGCCGUAAGGUGACUCUUGAUGACCAUGGCACUCACAACCCCCUCCGGGAACGUGUACCAUCCGUCGGGGUGGCGACUGUACGUGAAGCUGUUGCUGCUGUUGGGUGCCGUCGGGAAGGUCUCCACGGUUUGUCGGAGUUGGUCAUAGAUUUCCUUGUGUGCGGCUGCUUCAUCAGCUGAUUGGGGUGCAAAGGAGAGCGGGAAGGAGGGCGCCAUGAAAAGUGAAUGCAGAACACCAAGGACUAAUGGUUGUUAGCUGGUGUUGUGAUGCUGUGAUUCUGUGAAUAUGUGGGAGCGUAAAGUGCAAAUAUAUAGGCGAGGAGAGACAGAUUCGGAAGUCAAUAGAACAUGAAUAGUGUUCAAACUGGCAGUGACAUUUUGACAUUAACUAUCUUGUUAGCAUCUCUUAAGUGUUUUCAUAUGAGUCUCCCUUUCUUUUGUCAAUGCACGUGAUGAUCAACUUGAGCUUACAAGAAUUUAUUAAUUCUUCUGAGGAUCAAAUUGUAUCAUGUCGUCAAUCAGUGAGUUUAGCUCUUAAUAGGGAGUAUUACCGCCCCUUUUCUUAGCGAGGAUGACACAUGUGAGAACGUACUAUACUGAUUAGAAGAUACCUUUAGAAUCUUGUCCUGAGAAAUAUGGAUAAAAAAUGAUAAAGACAGCGUGUUAUAUAUUGUCAACAUAAAACACCAAACUGGGUGAUUGUUAGUUUAGCAGUAAUAUCAGUUUCUAGUUUGAUUACAUAGACCGAUUCAUGGAUUUGAGAGUGAGAAAAUAACUGCAGAUUGCAUAGUGUUGCAUUCAAGAGAUGCAUGGUUGCUAAGCGCAAGAAUAGCUUAUAAUAACUGAUUUUGCACAGAAAAAGAUCUGGUAUACUCUGUAACAAGACUUGAGCGAUUUUGGGCCAGAGAUUGAGACCUCAGUGCUGGAAAGGAGCUCCGGCCUACGUACGGCCUGUACAAAUUGGCCCAGACGGGACUGCGGCCUCGGUGCUGCCCAUAAGGAUUGGCCCAGACUCCAGAACAGGGUUACGGCACUGGAAAUAAGUCUAUUUAUAUCCCUCAACUCAUUUAUGUGGUUGAAUCGCAUUCCUCAACCGCAACACCGAGUAUAACCCGUCCACCAAAUCCCAAAACCGUUGCAAAUUGACUCCUAGGAUGGUUUCAAAGGCAGUUUUGUCCCACAUGGCAUAUUUGGCCCCGUUGAUUUGCUGAGUCAGCUUGUGAAACCCAUAUGUCAAAGACAAGAAUAAAAAUGAAAAUGGUGGGGCCCACUGUUGCCCACCGCCGUCACAAGCGUUCCCCACACAUUGCCUUCGCCGCCUCUACCACAUCGCAUUUGCCGCAUUUCCCCCUCCAAUCCCGCAAUACGCCACCGCCGUCGCUGGUCGAUGCCCCCUCCUCCCCCGUCGCUGCCGUAGCAGCAAUCGGGGAUGACGUCGGCGGUAGCAGUAGGCAGUGCCAAUCCUCCACCCCACGUGCCAAAACCCUAGUAGCACCCCACGCGGCGGCCACCUCCUCCUCCCACUCAUGCCAGCCGUCACCGACGUCUCUUGCUGCGGCUUCGUGGAAUCAGUUUGGUCAUUGCCGUAGCACGCGUCGAUGCCACCAAUGCUGUGGGCCACCAUCGGCCAUCCAUAUGUGUUGCGUGCAGACGGAGGUGCAGGAGGAAGAGGGUGACGGGAGCAUGAUCCGGUCCAACUCCCCCAUCUCCCGUUACAUCGUCCUCUCCUUCCUCAACUCCGGUCACUACUCACUAGUCACUACUCCAUCCUCUUUUCUUCUCGACGGCUGGCAGCAGGGUGGGGUGGUGACCAACGAGAUGGUCGGCUAGAGGAGCGAGAGAAGGGCCUAGAGAAGAAAAGGAGGAGGCGAGGCCAAGCCCCAGGAUAGGGUUGCCCAUGGUGGCGACGGAGGCGGCUGCUGCGGCGGGAGGGAAGGGGAAAGGGGAGGGGGGAAUGCGGCGACGGCAAUGCCGGAGAGGCAGGGAAGACGAUGUGCGCAACGGCGGUGGGCAUUGACAGUGGACCCUACUGUUUUCACUUUUAUCCUUGUCUAUGACAUGUGGGUCCCACAAGCUGACUCAGCAAGUCAACGGGUCAAAGAUAUCACGUAGGACAAAACUGCCUCCAAAACCAUGUGGGGAGUUAAUUUGCAGUGGUUUUGGGAGUUGGAGGAUGAGUUAUAUCCGGUUUUGCGGUUAAGGGAUACGAUUUUCAACCAGGGACAUGACUUAAGGGAGGUAUAAUAGACUUAUUUCAAACGGACUACGUGCGGCCCAUAUAUGUUGGUCGGGAACGUGAUUAUAGACUACGUGAGGCCCAUAUAAUCUGGGCCGGAACAGAAAGCUAGCCCAGAUAUGACGGUGAGCGAGCGGCGAGAGCGAGAAGACGCCGCCGCUGUGAACGAGAGAGGAUGAGGUUGGCGCGCGGUACGCACUUCGCCAUGGAGGAGCAUGAGUUUCCAAACCACCUCUCAUCAUCUCAUGCCAACACGUCAGUCAGUCAUCAGACUGAGCGUUUUUUUUUUUUUGGCAGCCGUACGUCGAUCGAGCGAUGCAUGCGAAGUUUCUUGGUGCCUUCCCGAUCAACCAACUCCAUCUCGUUCACGUAUGCAUUCCGGUCGUCGGCACGUUAAGUUUGAUAAUAAUGUUCACAUUGUACAUACGACUUACCCAAUCACGUACCUUAGUAAUUACGCCCUCCGUACAAAAUAAGUACAGUUUUGCACUAUUCACGUUUAACGUUUGACCGUUCGUCUUAUUUGAAAAUUUUUUAUGAUUAGUAUUUUUAUUGCUAUUAGAUGAUAAAACAUGAAUAGUACUUUAUGUAUGACUAAAUAUUUUUAAAUUUUUUAUAAAUUUUUUAAAUAAGACGAACGGUCAAACGUUGGGCACGGAUAUCUACGGCUGUACUUAUUUUGGGGACGAAGGAGGUAGUAACACGUAUUGUACGUGUGGUGUGUGCCCCCGUGGUAAUGUUGAUGUUGAUUGCUGUUGCUGCUGACAUGCCAUGCAUGCGUACGUGUUGAAGUCGUGAACACAGCCGAAAAUCCAAGCUGCGAGAUCGACAAAUUAAACUCUCUCAAGUUGCAUGCAGAUCAAUUUGUUACUUACCUGUUGCAAUCGAAAGUGUUUAUUUUUUCGAGAGUGAAUAUUUCCUCGUUUUAUUUAUAUAAUCUAAAUAAUUAUAAAUAAAAUUAAAUGAAUUGGCAAGAUGUGUUAUAUCACUCCACAGGUUUAAACUUUUGACUUACACAAAUUCAAAAAAUAACAAAUAUGAUAUAUUAGAUUAUACAUACAUGUAUAAGUCGCAUUAUAGUUGAAUGAUAUAUUAUAUAUUAAUCUAUUUUACUAUAUAUAUUUUCAAUAUUUCUACUGACAUUUUUAGUGACAAGAAAAAACGAUGGAACAUUCCUCCAUUCCUCCCAUAGACAAAAGACACUCCCAGUGCAAUCCUCUUCCUUAUUUUAGAUUGAUCAUCGUUCUAUUGUAUUUGUGACAUUAUAUAAGAUGUUAUAUGAUAUAAUGAUACAAUUUCAUUUUCAUACAUACUUCCUCUAUCUCAAAAUAUUAUAACUUCUAAUCUAAAGUUUAAUUUUUAUCACAAAUAUAACAAUCUAGUACGGUGUAAAAGAAUAUUUUUACUACUAAAACUACCCAUUCUAUUCAUUUUGUUUACUAUAACCCUAACUAGUCUUGACUAGUAAUAUGCCCGUGCUAAACGCUACUGUGCAAUUCGAUUUAUCUUUAAGAACUUUUAAGAUUUCACGUUAGCAAAGAAAUCCGUGGAUUGCAACACAAAUAUAUAUUAAUGAGCUCAAAUAUAUUAGUAUAUAUUAUAUCACACGGCACACACAUGUACACAUAGUUGAAAUGAUAAUUUCCUAAAAACAAAAUUCCACCAUGUAAUUUCUCUAGUUCCUCUAAAAAUUCGGCCAUUUACUCUAAUCUCCUUACAACAUAGACGCUAAAACGACAAGGCUAAUAGUUAGGAUUGACUUCUUAGUUCAAUAACCAUACAACGGACAAUGUGACAUCACACAAGCAUAUGUAUGUACAAUCAUAAUUUUACAAUCUCAAACAAUCAUUCGUGUCUAUAUGCACGUUGAUAAUUCAUUGAACAUGAUAUGUCUACACAAAUAUGUUGCCGGAUUCAACAAAAUUCCUUGCACGCCAUAAUUGACAAAGGGACAGAGCCGUCAACUUGAACUACAGCAGUUAGGAAAUUUCUCUGAUCCAAUGUAUAUAAUAUAAACCAGCACAUUUACAAAUUAUCUUGGUAGGGUUACUAUGCGAGCCGAGCCGGCUCGGUAUCCAACCCUAGUUACCAUUGUUAGCUUAAACUAUUAUUUAUCAAAUAGAUCUAUCAUCGAUAGUUUUUUUUUUCUAGCGAACUGAAUGCGAUUGAUUCUCGUUGCAGUACCUCUCAAACAAUUUUGUUUGACAAUAAUGGAGAGAAAUUGGUGCAACUACAACUCCUUUAACUCCCUGCUAUUGUAUAUGAAGGCCGAAGGCCAUCCAAGUUAUGUUAUCAGGCUUAUCAGACUCCCGAUGAAUAUAAAGAAGUUAAAAUCACAGCGAAUUUUCAGACACAAAACCACCUCAGAAACGACCAUAAAAUAAUAUGGUCAACAACAACCUUGCUCCAAUUCAGAACUCGCCAAAAUCAAAAGCCUUCAAAUGAUCUUCAACAAUACAUUUAAUGAACACAAGGGAUAAAAUAACAGAUAUUAGUAUAACUUGUGCCAAUGGAUAAAAUCUGCGCAUGAUAAAUAAUGAGUGCCUACAUAUACAACAAACUAAUGAUGUCACUAUAACAGUAUCUGUUAGCAUUUCCAUCACAGCCCAUUAAUUCGCAAGAACUCUCCAUGCUUUACACCAACACAAACAUCACUAAAUAAAGCUUUCGAAGAGAACAGGUGUGCGCUAACUGAACCCUAGCAUCAAACACAAAACCCUAAAAGAAAAAAGGAAAAAGAAUCACCCAGUUUGGCAACUUCAUUGCUGCAGAGAAAAUUAUUAUUUUCAGGUGCCGUUACUUGACACAUUUGCUUCUUUUUCUUGCAGAUCAACAAUUAAUUCAAAAGAGUCUUGUGUUUCGGCUGGGCAUUUCGAGUCUUCUUUUAAUCUCACGAUGAAGUACAGUGAGUAAAUUGAUACACACUUUGUAAAGAUCAUUAUCAGAUUUGUGCAACCUAUAAUAAAAAAAAAGCUUUAUUUACCAUUAUGUUACUGCAAUAUCAAACUCUCAACCUCUUAUGCCAUACUGAAUUGGCAUCAAUAAAUUGACCCAGCAGUGGACAUUCUCAAAUUCUCACAUUGACAUUCAAUUAUCACAUUCAAUAUUGAUUCACAAUCUGAAUUCACGUCAAUUUACAAUCUCAAUCUCAAUCUUAGCUAACUAUAGCUUUUCUUUUCUAGAGCACCAUAUUUCAUCCAUCUAAUAUAAUACAUACCAUAUUUACAAUUACAAUUCACAAUUAUAUCAAUACAGGACAAAAAUAUAUUACACAAUGAAGGGUAAGGGAGAAGAUAUCGAACCAAAGGCAAGACAAUAUGGCAGAGGAAGAUAUCACUAUUAUUAUUCUGCUUAUAAUCACGCUUCUUUUGAUUGAUUGUUGAUCAGUGACCAGUUGUGUUAAAAAUCAACCUGGAAUAGUUUAUCACCGUAGAAAUGUACAAUUAUUAUUUGUCUAUCACAGUAUAAAUGUACAAUUGUUGUCACACUGCCUUCAAAACAAAUCAAUCAUUACACUACGGUAAUAUAAUAAUGGCAAUGCCCACUUUUUAACCAUGUGCUGCAAUGGGAAUGAAAUAUGUACCUUGCACGGGUGGCUGAUGCAAUUUCAAUACAUCGCGCGUGUAUCCAGCAUUUUAGCCUCCACUUGCAUGCACGCUACGAUCGCCUUCCCUCACGCUAUCCAGUAAACAACAAUUUUUCCACCAAACAUGUUUAAAUUUAUAUGGGACAACAUAUCUGUAGCAUGUAGCGUCCAAAUUGAUCAAACGCAGUGGUAUAGCUAUAUUGGAUCCUGGAACUGCAACGAAGAACAGAAUUGCACUUACCAUGGCUUAGGGCGCGUUCCUUGAAGAACAGAAAAUUAAACUUACCAUGGCUUAGGCCGCAUUUGGAUAGGGAUUUUUUUCCAGCACUCAACACAAGAUAAGCCAUUAAUAUACAAUUAAUUAAGUAUUAAUUAUUUGAAACUUGAAAUAGUUUGUUUGAUUAUUCAAAAAAUUUCUGUAUGAGAUAUUUUUAUAAAAAAAUACAUUUUUUAGUAGUUUAAAAAGUAUGCUCACGAUAAAUGAGGGAGUUGCAAAAGCCAAAUGCACUCCCCAUCUCAGUCUUAUUCCAAGAAUCCUAGCUAGUAUAUAAUGGUACAUUAAUUUCUAAAUUCUAAAGUAUUACCUAACCAGAGUUUUUUGAGAGAGAUUAUUUUGAUGUAAACAAACAUAACAUCCUGUAAACCUGAAUAAUCAAGGCUCUACAAACUACAAAUUGAAAAAGAAAAAGGAAAAAAAAGUUGAACCGAAUCCUGAAAUUAAAAUCACCUGCCAUCAUAUAUUUCAUUCAACACAGCUGAACUUUUACAUUAAUCACUUUCGACUAUACGUAUUUUCUCCAUCCUUUCUAUUUCUGCUGAAAAUAAAUGCCCCUUUCCUUUCUAUUUGUGCUACCAGGCUGAUAGAUUCAUAAAUCUGGGAACUCACCUGCAGAUGUGAAAUGGCUUCCAGAUGAGCAGUAAAUCCAAGCCAACACUCAAUACUUCAGCAGAAAUACAACUUCAUCUAGUAAAAAUCUCACAUUGUUUUUUUGUGUGAAGUAAAAAUCUUGGGUCUGUUCAUCAAUAUGCAGAAGUAAAAUUCUUGCUCUGUAGUCAGUAUAAAAUUAUAUCUAUCCUAUAGUUGAACAAAUGGUUUUACUCAUUCAUCACAUCACACAUCCAACGGUGUAAAUUCAUCAGAUGAUUUUACACACGUUUGGAUGUGUGAUAUGAUGAAUGAUGAAUGAGUAAAACCAUUUGUUCAACUAUAGGAUAGAUCUAUAUAUAACUCACUGGUGCUCAAGGUACAACUUAUUACUAUAUUUUAGAUUGGAGGCUAAUUAGUAUACAUAUAUAUGAUGCUACGUCCAAUGGCAUUCCUACACAUUCCUACACGAAGCUUCUCGUGGUAGUCCCCGUCUCCCCGAAUAUCGGGUAGCUUAUCUAUUUUCUGUUGUUUUAGUCAUAUUAACCAUUAUAUCACUCAAUAAUUAGACUAUAAGUAUAUCGAGAACCUCACUAAUUUUUCACGCUGUCACAUCGAAUUUUUAAACACAUGCAUGGAGUAUUAAAUGUGGAAAAAAAACCAAUUACACAUUUCGUUAGGAAAUUGUGAGACAAAUCUUUUAAGCCUAAUUGCGCCAUGAUUUGAUAAUGUGGUGCUACAGUAAAUAUUUGCUAAUGACAUAUUAAUCAGGCUUAAUAAAUUUGUCUCGCAGUUUCCUAGCGGAAUUUGUACUUUGAUUUUUGUUAUUAGACUGUAUUUAAUAUUUCAAAUAUGUGUCCGUAUAUCCGAUGUAUAUGUAGGGGCAAAACUUUUUUUUGCCAACUAAACAGUCCCUCGGUUGCAUUCGACGGGAAAUCUGAAGUACAGUUUCGAGUUGACUCACAACUCACAAGCUAGUGGACUACGUACCAUGAUGGGGUACGGUAGUCAUUGUGAACUUUGGUACGAUAUCUCGCUCGCAUGCCGUAUCGUUCUCAAAGGACGUACUGAAACCUUCAAAGCCCAGCCGAAUAAACAGCAGAAAUGGUAGGCCCGCGCGAUUCGGUUUUCCCGCGCACGAAGCUUCGUGGAAGCUCACCUUGCCUUGCUCCCCUAUAAUUCCUCGUCUUCCCCCUCAUCUUCCUCGCCCCUUCCUCAGCUCUCGAUUUCUAAAGACAUCGCCAUGAUGAAGCUUGCGCAUUUGUUCGGCUCUUCUUCUUCGUCUUCCUCCUCCAAGAAGGAGAACAAGGUGAGCAGCAAGAAGAGGAGGAGCGGCGCCAAGAGCUGCUCCUUCGGCUCCACCACGUCCUCGUCGUCGUUGGCGGCGUCAUCAUCCGAUGAUUCCGCCGCCACCACGCCGAGAUCCGUGUUGCCGACGUCGGCGGCGGCGUCCUCCUCCGGCACCAAGAAGCCGGCGGCGGCGGCCGUGACGCGGGAGGACCUGGAGGUGGCCCUGCGGAGGAUCGUGUCGAGCAAGGAGGAGCUGGCCGCGAUGCUCGCCGAGGCGGAUUACGCCGGGGAGCUCGUGCUGGAGGAGAUCGCGGCCGCAGCGGCGGACGAGGGCGAGCUGAAGGAGACGUUCGCGGUGUUCGACGCCGACGGGGACGGGAGGAUCUCCGCCGAGGAGCUCCGCGCCGUGCUCGCCUCGCUCGGCGACGAGCUCUGCUCCGUCGACGACUGCCGCCGCAUGAUCGGCGGCGUGGACACCGACGGCGACGGGUUCGUCUGCUUCGACGAGUUCGCCCGCAUGAUGAUGUGUGGCCGCGCGUGAUUAUAUAUAGGUUAUUAGGUUUUGAUCGAUGUACGUGAUGCAUGUUAAUCGAUCGUCUCCUGUAUCUACGUGUCGUUCGUUUGCUGUUCAUCGUCUCACUGAUUUCUUUUGUUCUCUUUGUACGUAGUACGAGUUUCACAGAAGAAAUGAACAGAACGGUCAGUUAGGUUGUUUGUUUGCAAGAUCGGUAACUUUUUUUUUUGAGAGAGAAUCCAUUAAUGCCACUGAGACUUUGUCACACGUCUAUGGUUUACCACUGACUUUGUCUUAGGGGUAUUUUGAUCAUUUCGACAAAUUUGUCCAGUACUAACGGAGGCUAACCGGACAAAGUCGAUAGCAUAUUGUAAAACGUGACAAAGUCAGUGGUAAAUUAUAGACUUGUGACAAAGUCAGUGGCAUAUAAUGGAUUCUCUCUUUUUUUUUUCCGUUACUAGCUGAUUUAAUUUGCCCGUGCAUUGCAAUAGAAUCAAAGGACAGAUUGAGGAUUGGGAAUUGAAAGCGAGUACACAAGUUUCACCAAUAUUGAGAGGCGCACACACACGUCAAUGAUAGAGAGUGAUGUAGCUUAUUCACUGCUACCACCACUGUCAACAUUUAAAGUUGUAUAAAUUAAUUAUACGUAAGAUGCACACACAUACCAUCAUAUACACCAGUCAUUGAUCUUUUUUUUAACUAUUAGACUUACGGUAAACACAAGCACACAUAUCGAUCACUACAUACGCAACACCAUACUUCCAUACUUGAUCAUGAUUCUACCAUCAUAUCAUAGGUGCCUCCUCAUAUAUACAACUAUUGUUAUAGAUGUUUGUACUUUAUAUAUGUAAAUAAAUACUCCAUCCGUUCCAUCCACCCAAAAUCUCUUAUAUUAUAGGACAGAGGGAGUAUAAGUCAUCCUACAAUUUACUCAUUAAAACAAAAUUUUCUAUAGAAAUUUCUUAAAAUAUUUAAGUAAAUAUAUUUUUAAGUUUAUUCAAUCUUAGCUAAUCAUACGUCAAUUGAGUGUUUUCUCCAAGUAAAGCCAAGCAGCUAAUUGCCUGCCCGAUAGGCACGUUGGAACGGGACCUUAAUUAAUCUUCCCCGUGGAAAACAGUUUGCAUGCGUUGUACAUGUUGAGCGCGCGGGAGACCGGAGACAUCAGUGCGUUGCAAUUGCGGGGCAACUUACCAACGGUGCAUGCAAUUGCAGCGAGAUGCAGUGCAACUUUCCGGUCAAAAGCAAGCUAGCCCUGCACUUUUUCAGUGACAAAGACAAGAGGUCAAGCACUCAAGCUGCAGGACAAAGUGAUCUAUACACUGAGUUUCACUGUUCACAAACCAUCUUUAUGAUCCAAAGUGAUCUAUACUGUGAAGCAUCGAUCACAGUAGUAUUGUCACAUUAAUAGUGUUAUUAUACACUCAUACUCAACAUCGCAACCAGGUUGCAAAUUCAACCGUGCAUCAUCUUGGAUGACGAUGAUGAUGCUGGCAAAAAGCAACAAUCUCCCAGUGAAAACAACACGAUUAAGCUGAUCAAUUCAGUUCUUUCCACUCCAAUUAUCCAAUCCAAACAAACUGUCAAUUUCACACAGAGAACACAUGCGCGUGCACAGCUACGACCGAGUGUGGCCGCGUCGCGACGCCGCCGGGCGCCACGCCGUGACGGCGUAGAGCGGCCUCUUGUGCCAGCAGAAGAAGAAGCCAUGGCCGCCGGCGUCGUGCCUCACCUCGUACGGCCCCACCCACCCGCAGCUCUGCAGCAGCUUCCUCGCCUCCAUGGCGCCGCUGUAGCUCAGCCCCACCGACUCCAUCCCGGCCGCCUCCAUCCGCGCCGCCCACUGCCGCGCCCGCUCGUGCCGCUCCGUCCGCUCCGCCCCCUCGCACGCCACCACGCCGCGGAUCUCCUCCCCGAGCAGCACGCGCUCCACGCGCGCGCGCUCCGCCGCCGCCGCCGCGCUCCGCUGCAGGCAGUCGAACAGCGACGCGUAGUAGUUGAGCGCCUCGUCGAACCGCUCCUGGAACGCGCCGCCGUUGUGGUUCGCCUCCUGCUCCGUCAUCACCAUGAUCUUCGGGGACAGCGACCUCACCGCCGACAGGAAGCUCCCCAGCUUCGGCGUCGACGUCGUCGGGUGCGCCGCCGUUGCUGCUGCGGGGGAGUGGGGUGACAGCGACGACACCACGGACGCGUCGGGGCUCAGCUGCAGCCGCGUGUUCAGCUCCCGCUCCAGCAGCUCGCCGAAGCUUCUCGGGCUGGAGCGCGCGAUGAUCUGGACCGGGGUGAGGCAGCCGGUGGCGGCGUGCCUCCUCCCGUCGUCGACGGCGAGGAGGCGGUGAAGCUGCAGCACGACGCUGACGGCGAGCGCCUCGCCGGACCUGACGCCGAGGUCGUGGCGGAGCGCGUCGAAGUCCAUCUCGUCGAGCUUCGCCUCCACGGCGUUGAACUGGAACGCGAUGUCGAACGCCUCCGCCUCCUUGGACAGCACCGCGGCCAUGUUCGCGAGGAACUCCUUGCUGUCGUGGACGGCGGUGAUGCGGAGGUGCGGCGGGCCCUCCCGGCGGCCGCGGAACGCGUGGAACAGCGCGAUCCACUGCACCGGGUUCGCCGCCGGGCCGGAGAAGUCGACGACGUGGACGAACCUCUCCCCCUCCAUUGCCUCAAGAAUGGCAUGGUUGGUGGUCAGGUACGCGAGCUUCAGGAACGGGAGCACGUCGAACAUGUGGCGGCGCGCGACGGGGACGAGGUGGGCGUCGGCGGAGUUGGCCGACGACAGCAGCGCGCGCGAGAGGCCCGGGAUGAGGUUGAGCAGCUUGCGCGCGAGCGCGUCGGCGAAGACGGCGGCGAGGCGCUGGAGCGCGUGCGGCGCGUCCAGGGACGCGAGCUGCGUGAUGUGCUCGAGGCAGAGGUUGGCGCGGUCGAAGGAGCCGGCGGACACCUCGGCGGCGCACUGGUAAAGCAGGCCGAUCAGCCGAACGCUCUGCUGGUCAUGGCUCAGCUCCUGCACCCACGACCCGUUCGACGGCGACGGCGACGGCGAGUACACCGACGACGCCGGCGAUGACGUCGCCGACGACAGCAUGUCGUCCUGGAACAUGCCCCUGUCCGUGCAGCACAGCCUCAACUGCUACCAGUUUUCAGAGCCGUGAAGCUUAUCAAGCAAUGGCAUCAUUGGCAUGUCGCCAUUGUUGGGUUUGAGACAAAUGUUGCAAGGUCAGGUGUUCCUGUGCGACGAAGUUGUCAUGGGACGACGAAGGGACAAAGAAGAAGUGGAUGCUUCUUCGGAUAGAACUAAGAGAUGUCGUCUGUAUCUUGGUGGAAUAACUAAGGAGCUUGGAAUUAUUCCCUUGGAACUUAUCUCCAGCAUUUGGAUCAGAUGCUAUCUGACAAUUUUGAGAUCAAUUUCUUCUGCUCCCAGUCUAUUGCAGUCACGAUUUUGUUUUUUUUUUCUAUUUGUGCUCCAUGACUAAGCGAUGAUCAAUGAAACUAAUACCUCCAAAAUCUGCGUUCUUAGUCCAAACAAAACCUGGCUUUGUCUGAAGUUGCAAACGUCAAAGUGUAGGUGACUGCAAGGGGGCUUUCUUGGAGCAAACGUUCGCAUUUGGACCCAAGCUGUUGUUGUUCUUUUACCUCCAAACCUAAUUUUCUCGUCUAUUUUUGCAGGAAAAGCUAGGAAUAUGAGAUUAAUUUGCAUUUCUCAGCCUCUUAAUCAGGUGCAUAAACUUUGGAUAUGAGAUUACUCUGCCAAAACUAAGUACUAGCAUUUUCUAAGAAACAUAAUCAUUUUGCACACAGAGAAAACUACAAAAUGAUAGGCAGUCAUUCAAGGAUCGAUGAUGAAUUAAGCAUCUCUGCCAAUCCCAUUUAGUCGGUUCCAAUUUUCAAAGAGAGAAAAAAACAGAACUUUCAGUUCUUUACAUACUUCACACCAAAAGAUAUUUCUAUGUCCUAUACCACCCUUCUUUUUACACCAAGUGAGCUUAUAUUAGCAUAGCUUUAGUGCAGGAGUCAAAUCUUGCUGCAAACACACAAUAUCAGCCUGUACCUUGAGCUGCCAGACAUAUGCUGAACAGAGCACCCAGAGUGGGAAAUUUGGAUGUAGUCUGCUGCUCUAGAAUUGCCACGGACAGAGAGGCCUACUGGAAUGGCCAUAUUAUUUGGCGUUGAACUAAUAACAUAUGCUCUCUGCUCCCAGAGGAUGAACCUCUAUUUUGCCUCCAUACCGAGAUAGAGUAGAGAUUCGUAGAACCCCAGCUCAGUAGAAGGCAGCCCCUGUCUUCUUUGUUCUGGCAAUUUUUCAAUCCAAAGCUCAGCAGAUUCUCUUUACCCUCCCUGAUGGCACUGAAGCUAAGUUGCACAUUGUGAAACCCAGAUUCUUCCAUGUGCAUUGCCCACUGGUCCAGCCUCUCGUGCCGUUCGUGCCGAUGGACUCCCUCGCAUACCAGUAUGUUUUUUAUCUCUUCCCUCAGGAUCAUCCUUUCCACACGUAAGCGUUCAUCAGUCCUCCCUGGGUUAGCUGCAGCCACUGCAUGGAAGCAGUCAAAGAGGGCAGCAUAGUAGUUGAGUACCUCAUUGAACCUAUCACGGAACAACAGGGCAUUGUGGUCUGCAUCUUGCUCCAUGAUCACCAUGAUAUUCGGUUUGAGCGCUCGGAUGGCAGACAGUAAUCUUGCCAGCAAUUUUGGUGUACGAGGGGAUGGUGUCUGCAGAUAGUUCAGUGUGGAGGCUGGACUGCACACAGAGCUGGCCAUUUGCUUAGGCUGAGUGAAGUUGGCCAUUUUCUGGAGCUGAGCAAUGCUGGUGGAGCUCAAAUUGUCGUCAACCAAGAGGAGGCGAUGCAUUUGUAGAGCGCAGCUGAUUGCAACUGCCACACCAAAUUUUAUCUGGAAGGUGCUACGGAGAUUGCUGAAAUCCAAGGUCUCAAGUCUGCCUAUCACAGAAAUAAAACGGAAGGACACCUCAAGAGAUUCAGCUUUCUUAGAUAGCAAUGACUGCAUUUCGGCCAAGAAAUCGUUGUCAUCAUGGAGAACAGUAAGGUAUAAUUCAGGUGCCCCGCCAGGCCGUCCAUGGAAGUCAUCGAGGAGCUUAAGCCACUGCCAUGGAUGAGCAGCUGAGCAGGACAAGUCAACAAUGUGGACAACCUGCAACUCUACCUGCGUCAGAAGAUUACAAGCAAGGGUACAAAUAAUCUCAAAUUCUCAUUAAUGCUCGCUAAUGCUAACCAACAAUUCUGCAGGUCCUAAGUUUGUUCUUAAAGAAUGUUGUGUGCAAAAGUAUAUCAAUUUUACCUACCAUGUUAAACAUUAAUGACCUUUCAACAUAAAUUGCACCUUGUAAAGUUUUAAAGUUAUAAUGUGAAAGUUUUAAAAUGGAACAUAAAUUGCUCUUUACUUUGAUCUCCAAAAAAUUCUGCAUGUUUUCAGGAAGAAAUUUUAACAAAUCUACACUACCCAGCAUUAUUAGAAAAGUAGAAAGGAACAGUAUCAACUCUAGUUCUUGCAUCAAUAGUGACAAACAUUGAUGUUCUGGGAAGUCAGCAUGCUAUAGAGUUUAUAUGCCUUGGAAAGGAGAAUUAUAUUUCUUGUUAUUCUAGCACCAUGCUAAAUUGAUAAUUAAAUAAAUAGCCGAAAAAAGAAGACUUCAUCCAAAUUAAGCAGGUGAAAAAAAAUACAUGCUUCAACCACAAAGUAAUGACAGAUCCCAAUGUAUUGGGUGAACUGCAUAUCUAUUGAAAACAUUUUUUUUCCCUAAAAGCACAUUCAAAUCAUACUAUGACCUUUUCAUCCUCCAUUGCCUCCAUAAUGGCCCGGUUGAUAGUGACAAAACCGGUGCUUAGGUAGGGGUUCAGCUUGAAGAAGUUGUGGGCGGGGCAGCCCGGGAGGGUUGACUUCUCAAAGUAAUCAGAUGGAUUGAUAAGGGCACCAUAAAGGCCCUGAAUGGAGGAGAGAAGGCGGUGAUCUAGGCUGUCAACAAUGAUCUUGGAUAGGUGCUGCAAUGGCCCGUCAGCUAUGGUGAGCAUUCUGAUCUUCUUAAAGCUGAAGUCAGCCUUCUCAAAAGAUCCCUCAGUUACAUGGGAAGCACACUCAUGCAAGAGAGGGACGAGCUGUGCUAAGUGAUCCACCAUACCCUGAUCUUGCACCCAUAGCCCAUGCAUCAUUUUAUUUUCUGCUCUCUAGGAAAGGAUUGGCGUGGUCAAGUAGGAAGUAUUGUUUGGCUGAGUUUGCUGGAGUAACUCCGAUUUUAUGCACAGCUACAUAUGUGAUACGUAGGGAAAGCACUCUAACUCAUGUCUUUAACUGAUAGAACAAAAUAAAGAUUUUUGGUUUUAUAUAGAAUUACAUUAGGCAAUUUGAAAGGAUUCACGGUAUAGGCAAAGUUUUACAUGUUGGCAUGUCCGCAACGAAAGGAAUACUAUAGGAAUAUUCAGUUUGUUCCGUUUGGAUUUGUCCCUUUGGUUUCUUCAUAUCCACCAGGUAGCAACUGACAAACAUUGGGGUCAAUCUCGUUGGACUAUGGAAUACUACUAUGCAUGGAACUUUUGGCAAGCUUAUCAGAUAUGGUUCUUUAAAAAAAUUAAUAUACAAAGAAGAGAUGUGGAUCAUGUGGUACCUACUUAGAAUGAGAAAAUAUAUGCAGUACAUACUGUUAAGUGAUACUAAUAUCUUAGCAAUUUUUAUGCGGUUAGCAUCCUUAUUUGCUAAGUAACCUGUUAUGGUUGGACACAAGUUCUAGCAAACCCAACUGCCCUGUUGGCCAGACCCUAAAUAUUUGUUGUGAACGAUGAUGGCUUUAACAAGGGAAGAAUCACAUUAUAUAUUCUACAUUUCAGCUGGGUUAUAUAUUUUACAUUUCAGGCAGAUGCACAUUUCAUUGGUCUGUUUUUCUUGAUUAGUAUAACUGCAUUGUGUUUCCUUUUCACUAGGGUUUAGCCGGUUAGCCGGUUUAGCAUUUGAUCAGAAUCAAAUUUUGUUAAUUUGAUAAAAUUGGUAACGCUUAGUACCAACAGCUUAAGUGAUUUCUUACUUGUUACAUGGUACAAAGGCACAACCACAACCACAACAUUAGCACAAAGGCACUUAGCACAGUAGCGACUAAAUACUCACUUUCUUUUUCUAAAUUGAAACUUAUCCACAACAUUUCGCAUUGCAAAUUUAAAGGUGCAAUAAAGGAAAGGACAAAUUGUUACCAGAACGUCCCUGAUCCGGAGUCCGGAAGGGGAAAUAUGCCGGCGCCGCGGUGUCAGUGACGCGGAACCCAGAAUGCUGCUACUCCUGCACGGGUGAUAGCCGCGACAGGGGAGCCGGGGUCCCGGCGCAAAUACACCAAGGACUCCGCAGCCUCCCGCCUCGAUCUGAAGUAGAGAAGCGAGGGCUGGCCGGUGGAGACUGGCGGACAUCGCCGCCGCCGCCGCCGAACGGCCGACGCGACAUGGCGGAUCAGUGUGGGGACUGGGAAGAAGGAGAAGGUGGCCGAAGCCUUUGCGUAUGGUUGAUUGGGCCUUUGGGGCUUGGAGCCCAUAAGAAGUGGCCCGUCUUGACAUUGCUAGAUUUGGCCCAAAAAUAACUGGAAUUUCAAACAGAUCAAAAUGGCCACACUCUAAUCUCAGAAAAAAAAGAGUUUGAUCGUAUUUUUAGAUUUUUCAUAGUUAAUCAUUUCUCCUCUCCACAUAAUUGCAAGUCAAGAACUCUGUGCCUCUUAUACAGAUUAAUUAAUCUCGCAAAAAAUGAAAAAAAAAGAAACAGGUUACAACUUGAAAACUAAAUUACAAAUGCAUGCUCUUUCGUCUGGUUGGUCAUCAAAGCUAUGUACCGGAGUCAUCGAUCAUCUGCCUCGGCACCGACAUGUAUGUACUCGCUUCUCUCUGAACCUGACCCAGCUCCUCCGCUCGCCGCCGGCCGCCAUGCCGAGAUCGAGUAGAGAGGCCUUGAGCUCCAGCACAGGAGGAGGCAGCCGCCGCAUUCCCUGUUCUCGCAGCGUCUCAAUCCGCAUCGCCUCACCAUGUCGUUCCCCUUCCUGAUGGCGGCGUAGCUGAGCGGCACGCCGGUGAACCCGGCCAUCUCCAUGCGCGCUGCCCACUGCCGCAGCCGGUCGUGCCGCUCCCGCCGGUGCGCGCCAUCCCGGAGUAGGACGCCCUUGAUCUCCUCGCCCACCACGACGCGCUCCACCUGCGCGCGCUCGUCGGGCGACCACAGGUGCGACGCCGCCGAGGUGGUGGCGGCCGCGGCGUCGUCGAGGCUGUCGAACACGGCGGCGUAGUGGUGGAGCGCCUCGCAGAAGCGCUUCCGGAAGGAGACGCCGUUGUGGUCCGCGUCCUGCUCCGCCACCACCACGAUCUUUGGUGACAGCGCGCGCACCGCCGACAGGAAGUUGGCUAGCGCCGCCGGCAUCUGGAGGUGAGGGGUGGACGCCGGUGGCGAGACGAACGUCAGCGGCGUGGCAGGGCUUCGGUAUGGGUCGUCGUCGUCGUCUUUGUACUGGACGCUUCCGCCGCCGCCUGUACUCGGCGGGCACGAGCUCACCGCCAUCUGCUGGAGCUGCGCGAUGCUCGCCAUUUGGUUGAGAUGGGCAGAGCGAGAGCUAUACAUCGCAUCGUCAUCAGCAGCAAGAAGACGAUGAAGUUGAAGAGUGCAGCUGACGACGAGCGCCUCGCCGGAUUUUAUCUCAAGGACAUCUCGAAGGUUACUGAAAUCCAGAUCCUCGAGCUGGCCAACGACGCCAUGGAACUGGAACUCCAUGUCGAGCUCUUCGGCUUCGUCGGAGAGAACCUCUGCCAUCUUGGCAAGCAACUCCCCGUCGUCGUGGACGACGGUGAGCCGAACGACGCGCGGCGGGCCUUCCGGGCGACGGCGAAGCUCGUGCAGGAGCUGGAUCCACUGACAUGGCUGGGUAAAUGGACCUGACAUUCCGACGACAUGGACCAAGCUCUCGUUCUCCACCGCCUCGACGAUGGCGCGGUUGCCGACGACGAACGCCACCUUGGGGAAGGGGCUGAGCUCAAAGAACCCGCGGCGCGCCGCCCUGACGGAACGCCGGUCGAGGUAGACGGAGGGGUCGAUGAGCGCGUCGGUGAUGGCCUGGACGGGGCGGAGGAGGCGCCGCGCGAGGCAAUCCACCAUUGCCUCGGCGAGGCGCUUCUGCGGCCCGUCGCCGGCGGCGGCGGCGGCGGCGAGGCCCGUGGCGCGCGCGAGGCAACGCGUGGCCUUCUCCAUGGGCCCAGUCUCUACGUGGGCCGCGCACUCCAACAGAGCUAGGCCCAUCUCCUCGGUUGGGCCACGGCCUUGCGUCCACGGCUCAUAUGGCGAGCAGAGCGACAGCUCCGGCGAUGAGGAGUCCGUACCAGAGAACAUGGCUAAAACGCUAACUAAUUCCUCUGAUAAAAAAUGCUAAGUAAUUUAAUGAGAGCUUAGUUACCAGCAGCUAGUAUAGUUGGAUCAGGUGGUCUCAGUAGGAGCAGGGUUUCAAUGUUGUGGCAGCUGUUGAAUUUAUAGAAGCAAAGAUGCGUGUGUGUAUGCUUGCCUCAUUUCUUGUCAUUGGAUGAUUAAGGUAUUAGUUUGUUGCUUAUAAAUUAUGACCUGGGUUUCAGGAUUUUGGAUGGACAUUAGCCAAGUUGUAGCCUUGUAAGUUCAUCAUUUGUUUGCACUGAAGCAUUUCUUGUUGGAAUAUACUUGUUUGUUACUCUGUUUCCAAUGGAUUUGGGUAUCUCUUUGUCUUCUUGGUACCUGUCUAGCUCAUCUACUAGGAAGAAACAGAACAGAUUACUUUGUGGCCAAUCUCCUUGGACUAAGGAUCGAAUGAUAUGUUUUGAAGAUUUAUCUAACUUUAGAGUAGUAUGUCAUUAUCUAAAAAAAUUUAACUAUAUAUUUAAGCUUCUAAAUGACAAUAUGACAUAGUCCAAGACUGAACGCUGCUGGUACUGGCUGAGAGCCUGAGACAACCUAACCCAAACCCAAACGGACGGUCCGGCCUGGCCCAAGAAUUCUUUGUGUUCCGGCCCAUCACGAAUACAACCUUGUCUGCUCUGCGGCAUCUACACUAGCAUGCAUGAUAUUAUGAUUGUAUAUCUUUCUGCAGAUGCAUUACUGGUGACUGAUCAUUGCUUCAUUAGGCCUCGGCACUUCAAAACAUGCUUAAUUUUUGUCAGCUCUCCGAUACAUUAUUACAGAGAUCUCUACUGUUUCAUAUUGGCCGAUUUGAUAGGUAGGUUGUUGCAAAUAAUAUGCAUGAAUAAUGGACCGAGCUAGCUAGCAAUAGCAUUAUUCAGAUGAACAGCAGCAGUACUGAAUUGAAGUAGUACUUUCACUAGCUAACUUUGUGCGUUCAACUAAAUGAGAUGUUACUUUCACUAGCCAGUAAUUCAUGCCGGCUCCCGGCUAUAGUUGCACUAACAACUAGUAAGAUUAUUAAUACAUGCAAAAACGGCUAACGACAUAAUUAAUAAAUGUUGAGGCAUGGCCGGCCAGCGCGUGGUGUUGUAGAAUUGCAGGAGAAGCUACUUAUCCAUGACCAUACAUCCAUAUAGUCUCUAUACUUUCCCAGUGUAUUAUACUGUACAUUUUAUUGCGUUGUCUGCACAUGUGCUACUGUACAGUUGACAUCAACCACUGUUGCUGGUCUCUCUGGCAAAUAAGAUGCUGAAGUAAUUGAACUGAACCACCACUAAUAAAAGUGUGUUGGUCUUCUGUACACUUCAACUGUGGUAAAAGUAUUACCAGCAUACAUGCUGUUAGCUAUCUUCAGGUUCAGAUCGAUAUAUAAAAAUAAAUAAUUCUCAUAGCUGCAGAUUGCAGAGAGAUAGCGAGCAUGGAGGCAUGGAGGAGCUGAGCAGCUGCAUGCCGGGAUGCUUUGCAUGGACGUAUAUACUUUUGCACAGACGACCGGACAAGCUUGUUAGUAGCUUGUAUAGCAGCAGCUAGUAGUAGCAAUUAAUCAAAAUACGGGACCUAACGAUAUGCGAAUUGAAAUGGAAGAUCGAUCUUCAGCAAUCGAUCACGCACAGAUCGAAUUUUUCGAUCUUUUUCAGGCAGUGGCGUAGCCAGCUAGGUGGCACUGUGGUUCAUGGACCACCUAAAAAUUUAAAAUUAUAGUAUAUGUGCUAGUUAAUAUAAUACACUACGCCAGAUCGGCCCAUCUGUGACGGCCUAUUAGUGACGGACCAAAGUGCCUCGUCAGAGAUAACCUCAUCUGUGACGGGUUACAAUAAAUCAUGUCAUAGAUAGGGCUCAAGAAAAUAACCCGUCACAGGUAAGUACUCAUCUGUGACGGAUCUAUAUAAGGAACCCGACACACAACAUCUUUAACGUGUCUACAUAUAGACCCGUCACUGAUGACCUCUUACCUGUGACGGGUUUUAAGUUUGUAACCCGUCACAGGUGAGAUACCUCACCUCAAACGUGUUGGAUUUUUAUACCCGUCACUGGUGAGUUAAAAAAAAAAGAAACCCCUACCACCCACCCAGGGGGCCCACCACCCACUCACCUCCCGGCCUUAUCUCCUCUUCUCUCAACUCCUCCCCACCACUCUCUCCUCUUCCUCAACUCUCUCCCUCACUUCCUCCCGACCUCCCGCCUCCACCUCUCUCUUCUUCCUCCCGACCUCCCACGUCUCGCCACCUCCCGACCGCCAGUCGCCUCCAUCUCCCACGCCUCGCCGGCCCCCGGCCAUCGGACACCGGAUCCGGCCGACAGCGCCUCCCCCAUCGACUGCCGGACUCCUCCCCCGCCUCCCCCACCGGAUCCAGCCUCCACGAGGUCGGGGGACGUGGAUACGCAUCCCGGCCGCCUCCCAGCCGCCAGCGCCUCCCACACCGACUGCCGGACUCGUCCCCCACCUCCCCCACCGGAUCCGGCCUCCACGAGAUCAGGGGACGUGGAUCCGCGUCCCGGCCACCGGACGCGGCCGCCUCUCGACCGUCGGACGCCGGAUCUGGCCUCCGGGAAGCCGGAUCCGGCCGCCAGCGCCUCCCACACCGACUGCCGGACGCCUCCCCUGCCUCCCCCACCAGAUCCCGCCUCCACAAGGUUAGGGGAUGUGGAUCCGCGUUCCAGCCAUCGGACGAGGCCGCCUCCCGACUAUCGAACGCCGGCUCUGCUUCCCCUUCGCUCCGGCGGCCGGAUGUGCCUCCCACCAGAGGGCGCUGCCGCCUCCACCUCCCGACCGUCCCUCGCCAUGGCCGCCAUCCUCUUGUUUUGCUUUGAUACUAUAUUGUUGUAUGUGGAUUGAGAAAUUCUUGCCAUCCCCUUUCUGUGAAUGUGUGCUAUAUGACUUCUAUGAAUGUGUGCUAUAUGAGAUUAUUCGGUUUGAAUUUCUUGUGUGAGCAAAGCAACUGUGACAACGAGCACCACCAUGGCAGCGUGCGCCAUUUUUUCUUUUGCUAGGUUUUUCACACCAGUGACGGGUUGCACGCUAUGUCUUUCAAUUUUUUUUGUUGGGUUAAAGACAUCACUGACGGGUCACAAUAUAAGGUCCGUCACAGGUUAAUAGUCACCUGUGACGGGUUUUAUAUAUGGUCCGUCACAGGUGUUGGUCACCACUGACGGACCUUCACCCGUCAAAGAUGAGGACAGUCAUCAGUGACCACUUAUCUCUGACCAGGGCCAAAUCCGUCAGAGGUAACAGUUUGAGCCCGUCACAGGUAGCCUUGUCCGGUGUAGUGAUAAAAAUUGUACAGUAAACCACUCUUUUAAUUGACAUAUUAUAUAUAGAUGAACCAUCUUUACUUUAAAUCCUAGCUACGUCACUGUUUUUAGGCAUGGGUGCUAAUUAAUUAGCCAGCCGUGUACGUGCAUGUGAAAUGUCCUGUCAGCGUGCACCAAAUUGAAGAUCAACUGAGAAAGUGAGAAUCACCUACUAUAUGCAAUGCAAGUAUAUAUAUCAGAGCUUCCACUGUUUGCUCAAAGCUAGAGAUGGCAGGAUUAUAAAGCAGAAAAGAGGAAAAGAACGAGGAGAGAUAUAGUAGAUGAUUGCUUCAAAAUGUUGUCCUGUUUUCCUAUAUAGGAAGUCAAAUAAAUAUGCUGGCGAAACCAUACACUAUCAAUUAAUCUCCCAAACAUGAUUGUUCCCACAUUUAAUUAUAUAUAGUUGGAGCGACACGAUCGAUCUGCACACCACGAAUAAUAAUUAUUUUCUUGAAUAAAUUAAUGUUUAGAACGGAACUCUCUCCUUCAUUUCCAAAUGCACGUUUGAACAUGGUUUAUACUCUAUCCGAUUUUUAAUAUAUGACGCUAUUGACUUUUAGACAUAGAUUUAACCAUUUAUUUUAUUUUAAAAUUUUGUGCAAACAUAAAAAAAUAUAAGUCAUGCUCAAAGAAAUUUUGAUGAUAAAUCAAGUCCUAACAAAUAAAUGAUAUUUACAUAUAUUUUCUUAAUAAGACGAAUGGUCAAAAAUAUCUCAAAAAGUUACUUAAGAAUAUUUUUAAAUAUUAAGUUGGAUACAUGAAAAUGACAGUUCAUAUGAAUAAAUUUGUCGUAAAAAAUAUAAACAUGAUAUAAUAACUUUUGGGGUUUAUAAAACAUAAUAAUAUUAUAUGUUUGUGAUUUGUGCAGCGUUAAUCAAAGGUGACAAGUAGGAGUACCUAAUAAAAACGAACAGUGUUCAAUAAAAUCUGCGCGUCAUAUUUAUUCGUGCAAUAAAUUGAUGAUAGUAACAUUUUGAUGGAAUAAAGGAAAAUGGCGCGCGACAUUAUUCCAGAGAACAAAAAAUGGCGAUGUUAAUCAUUUAUAUAUGUUUUCUUUUGGUUUGGAUAAUCCUGGUUGUGUUCUUUUGGAGGGGUUGGGAAUCCCUCCUCUCCGCACGAAAAACAGAAUAAUAGAUUAGCACGUGAUUAAUUAAGUAUUAGCUAUAAAAAAAAUUUGAAAAAUGGAUUAAUAUGAUUUUUUUAAAGCAACUUUCCUAUAUAAACUUUUUGCGAAAUACGUACCAUUUAGCAGCUUGAAAAGCGUGCACAUGAAAAAUGAGGGAGAAGAGUUGGGAACGGUGACGUUUUUCAAACUGCUAAACGGUGCGUUUUUUAUAAAAAGUUUCUAUACAAAAGUUGUUUAAAAAAAUCAUAUUGAUCCAUUUUUGAAAAAAAAAGCUAAUACUUAAUUAAUCACGCGCUAAUGGACUACUCCGUUUUCCAUGCGCACUAUGCAUGUUCCCAUCCUUCCCUACCAAACACAGCCUCAACUGUUCACCAGCCCAACUGCUAUAUAUAUAACAACUGAAAGCUUUGUUUUAAUUGGUAUAUUUUCACUUCUAAACUAAAAAUAAAUAAAUUUAAACUAAACUUAAAUAAUAUGACAGAUUAAUUACAAUUGGAAUUACAUAUUUAAACCUUACAGCUCGGAUCGAGUUUCAAACUUUGCUAUCAAAAUUGCUAGUCUUACCUAGAAUGUAUAUAUACUAACACUACUACAAUACCGAUUGUCCUGUGCGGGCGAGUCGAUUUUCGCGUGCGGGUGGGCGCAGUGGCGGAUCCAUGCAUAUCCUGUGGGGUCGUCUGACCCCACAGGUUUUUGAAAAACCCCUUUAAAAACCUUGAUUUUUAUGUAUAAAUCCAGAAAACUUAGAAAAAUGAUCCCACUUAAAUAUAAACUGCUAUUCAUCGACCCCACAGGGUUAAAUUCCUGGCUCCGCCACUAGGUGGGCUUCCCGCACGCACACAGUCGUCUGGGAAAAUCAUGAUUUUCGCGUGCGGAUGGCGCACCCACACGCGGAAACUGAUUUUCGCAUGCGGGCGCUUAAGCCGCCCGCAUGGAAAAACAAAAAAAAAUCAAAACAAAUAAAAAAGAAAAAAAACUAACCCUAAUCCGCCGCCGUCGACCCCACGGUCGCCGGCUACGGAUCCGCCGCCCGCUCCUGUCGCCAGCGCCGGAUCCAUAGUCGCACAUUGACACACAAUAGACCUCACAUCAAUUCCAAGAACACAUAUCACAAGAGCUAUAAAUGAACUCCAAGAACGCAUCUCACAAAUCACAAAGAGUCACAAACAAAGAGAUCACAAAUCACAAAGAGUCACAAACAAAGAAAGAAGGAGGGGGAGAGAUGGAUCCGCCGGUCGCUGACACCGUCGCACCUCCUGUCGGCGGCUCCACCUCCACAUCGGCCGCUGACGACACCUCCCAACCGGUGCCGCACCUCACGCCGCCGCAUGCUGCCGCUCUGCUGGAUCUGCAAGGGGAGGGAGGAGAGGGGGGCGCGCCGCCGGAUCCGCCGCCCCCAUGCCUCCCCUCCGCCGGAUCUGCAAGGCGAGGGAGGUGAGGGGGCGCGCGCCACCGCAUCCACUGCCCCUAUGCCUCCCCUCCGCUGGAUCGGCAAGGGAAGGGAGGGGAGGGGGCGCCGUGGUCGCCCGCCGCCGCCACCACCUACUCCCGUCACCCGCCGCCGCCGCCUGCAUGCUGUCGCCGCAGUCGAGGGAGAGGGAGGGAGGCACCGCGCGCCGCCUGCUGUCGCCACCGGCCAAGUGACGACAACCCGACGGGAGUGGGAGGAGAGGAGAGAGGGAGGUGGGAGGAGUGGAGUGGGAGAGGGAGGUAGGAGAGAGGGAGGUGGGAGGAGAGGAGUGGGAUAGAGGGAGGUAGGGGCGGACUGAGAGCGACAGGCGCGCGCGUGAGGAUAAAAUGGAUGGGCUAUUUUCGCGUACGGUUGGCUUAAACCGCUCGCACAGGAUAAUGCGUUUUCCCGUGCGGGCGAUAGCCCGGCACCGGUCCCCUAAUUUUCCGUGCGGUUCCACUUAUGUACCGUAUGGAAACAAAAUGGGGCGGCGUCCAGGAAAAUGAAUCAUGUAGUAGUGUAACCUAAAUUGUGCUUUAAAUUUGAAGGUUUGGAGGCACGGCAAUGGGCAAUGAUAUCUGAUGAAAGUGUGCAGUGGUCGGAUUAAUGGGGAAAAUGCUUUGAGGUAGCUGCAACCAAAUUUAAAUCUUAGAGUUUAAAUUUAGAAUUUAUUUAGGGUUUUCUUUGUGGAUUUCUAUUUUCAGCCUUAACUUUCGGACCCUAAAAGUCUUACCUUAUAAUUAAUUUCAGCCAUAUGUAAUAUAUCAGCUUGAAGGUCUUGUUUGAUUCAACUACUGGCUACUAGGUUAACACAUUUCUCAUACCGCUAAAUGGUGUAUUUUUUGAAAAAGUAUCUAUAUAAAAGUUUCUUUAAAAACUAAAUAAAUCCAUUUCUAACUCUUAAUGUUAAAGUUAUCAUAAUAUUAGAAUAAUCUACAAUAUAUCAACUAACCCUAAAAAUAGCGCUUUCUAAACAGGUUGGCAAUGGUGACAUUGGUGCGAGGUCAAUACGUACCCAAUAAUUUACGUGAAGAGCGACGGAAAAUCAGAUAAUUGAGAGAUAUUUUGCGCUUCAUGAAUUGACUGAAGUGGAACUAAACCCUGCUGGUAUAAUCAACUAGCCAUCGGGAAAAAGGCUAACAUCCACACGCAAAUACUGUGGCCCGGGCUGAAACACUGUGUGACAUGCAUGCAUAUAUAUCUGCCACACAUACAGAUAUACAUAUGCAUACAUUAGCUGGGAUGUCACCGAAUUUAAAUAUUCUAAAAAAAUACUCCAUUCAUUUUUUUAAUAUAUGAUCUUGCGUUUGAUCAUUUGUAAGUAUUAUUUAUAAAUUGCAAUUAUCGUUUAUUUUCUUAUAAUUUAUUUUAUUAUUAAAGUACUUUAAACAUGCUUUAUAUUUUUCAUAUUUACAUAAUUAUUAAAUGAGAUAAAUGAUCAAAUGUAUUGUUUAAAUCAAUAUAUAGUAUCAUAUAUUAAAAAACUAAGGGAUAUAAUAAGUAGGUCGGAAUCAUUUAACGUCUGAAUCUCUAUGAACCUAAAAACUAACCAAUCACAAGCUCUGCCCAUUCACUUCGUUCCUCGCUUUUUUACCACAUAAAAAUCUAAUGUUCAUUAAAGUUGCACACAAUAUAUACAAAGGCUGUGUUUACAUUCAGAAGUGAAAAGUUUUGACGUGUCACAUUAGAUAUACAGACACACAUUUAAAAUAUUAAACGUAGACUAAUAACAAAACAAAUUAUAGAUUCCGCCUGUAAACUGCGAGACAAAUUUAUUAAGCCUAAUUAAUCUGUCAUUAGUAAAUGUUUACUGUAGCACCAUAUUAUCAAAUCAUGACGCAAUUAGGCUUAAAAGAUUCAUCUUGCAAUCUACACGUAAUCUGUGUAAUUAGUUUUUUUUUUCUAUAAGGUGGUGAAAAGUGCAAACCACUCACUAGUGCCUAUAGUGUCAUUGGCAGAUGGGGUCUACCCAGAGCAGUGCCCUUCCUGUCAGUGACGAUCAAAACGCACAGUGAGCUGCAACAAUGCACCGAUCAUCCAUGGACCAUUGAUACUGUAGCCAGAACAGUAUGGCCAUCAGCUGUAUGCGUCCCCACCCACAAGCUUGCCACAAAAGAGACGACGGGUACGGUACCAUUGCUCACUGUAGCUGUAGCACAAAGGGGAUUGAUAGCAUCCGCAUGCUCCCCUCUCCAUUUCUCUCCUCACACACACCUCUCCUUCACCCUAACCUUUUCUUUUUCCUCUUGCAACAGUUGCUUCUACCUUGUGUUGCUCCCUCCCUUUCCCCUCCACCUCUCUUGCUUGGUUUGCUUCCUCAAAAUCUCUAUCCAAAUCCCUCCUCCUCACCUUCCUGCGCCUGAAAAGUUGGGGCCAAUCCGGCGCUUUUAUCUGGUGGUGAUAAGCUGCACAUGAGAUCAUGAGCUCCGAGGACUCGCUCAAAUCCUUGUCGCUUGACUACCUCAACCUGCUCAUCAAUGGCCAGGCCUUCAGCGACGUCGCCUUCAGCGUCGAGGGCCGCCUCGUGCACGCCCACCGCUGCGUGCUGGCGGCGCGGAGCUUGUUCUUCAGGAAGUUGUUCUGCGGGCUCGAUCCGAAUCACCAGCCGCCGCCGCCGCCACCGCCGCCGUUAAACUGGCCGACGGCGGGGGGAGGCGGCGGCGGCUCUGGUGGUGGAGGGCGUGGCGGCGCCGGUGGUGGUGGAGGAGCGCCUGCCACGCCGGAGCUUGUCAUCCCCGUCAGCUCGAUCCGGUACGAGGUGCUCGUGCUCGUGCUGCAGUUCCUGUACAGCGGGCAGGCGUCGGUGGCGGCGCCCAAGAGCGGGCCGCUCCCGGGGUGCGGCGCCCGGGGUUGCUGGCACACGCGGUGCGGCGCCGCCGUCGACCUCGCCCUCGACACGCUCGCCGCCGCGCGCUCCUUCGGCGUCGAGCAGCUCGCCCUGCUGGUUCAGGUACUGCGAAAAAUUCAGGAACACGACGUAGUAUAUACGCGUCAUGCAUCCUGCAGCUGCAAAUAAUUUGAAAUUCCUCUUCCAUAUGCUUGCAAUUCGAUCUUGGGAUCUGCUGCUAACACUGGAUAUUGAUUAAGAGUACAUGAUGGUAGUUAGGCUGGCAUGAUUGGAGCAUCUUUUUGGUGACAUUAAGAAGGAGUCAGCAGAAGCAAUGUUCAAGUCUGAGCUGAUCCUGCUGCAUGCUUGCCUAGAUCCCUAGGUUGCAUGCCCCCUUUGCCUUUUUUUUCCGAUUACUGAGCGAGCUGAGCUGCACGAUUCAUGCACUACUGCUCUCAACUGUGGCAUCUGAUCCAUGCGCAGUAGCUGCAGCAGAAUCUAGUGCAUGCCCUCACUUCAUUCAUCGCAAUUUUUUAACAUUUUUUCUUGUGUUCUUUUUUUUUUCGGGAGUGAGAUAGAUGGGGUAUAGUGUACUGAUAGGACUGAGUCGUCUCUAGUCUCGAUUGCUUUUCUGCUGCUUCGCCCUUGCUGCUUCUGUCAUCACUUGUCAUGGAGCUUCUGACUCAUCUUUACUAGGAAGGGUCUUUUCAAGCCCUUGUUGUGUCUGUCCCUUCCUUACAUCACAUCCAUCCCCAUGCUUGCUUUCCUGAUUUCUUAAUUCGCAUCAUUUCGGCAUUUCCAUUGCUAGGGUUUCUUGGAGAUCCAACCCGGGGUGGCCACUUCGAUCCUAACUAGCAUCAUUUCCAAAAAUAAUUCUUAAUGUACAGCAUGCAUGCUGUGUUCUAAGCAAAAAGUACAGUUAAGCAUCAUCAUACAUGUUUGCAUAUCUCUCUGAACAGAACUGAAGAAAGUACUACAUGCUAAGAACAACAUUUCAUGCUGCUAAUUAGCUGCCGUGCAUUUGGGGUGAUUAAUUAAGCAUCUUAAUUGAACUAACGGCGAGUUGCACAAUGCAAUGUGUUGAUGCAGAAGCAACUGGAGAGCAUGGUGAAGGAGGCGUCGGUGGACGACGUGAUGAAGGUGCUGAUGGCGUCGCGCAAGUUCGAGAUGCAGGAGCUGUGGGCGACUUGCUCCCACCUCGUCGCGCGCUCCGGCCUCUCCGCCGAUCUCCUCGCCAAGCACCUCCCCAUCGAUGUGGUGGCCAAGAUCGAGGAGAUCCGCGCCAAGUCGCCGCUCGCCGCGGCGGCCGCGCCGCGCUCGCCGUUCCUGACGCACCACUACCUCCCCAUGAACCCGGCGUCCUCCGCGGCGGACCGCGACAACAAGAUCCGGCGCAUGCGGCGCGCCCUCGACGCCGCCGACAUCGAGCUCGUCAAGCUGAUGGUCAUGGGCGAGGGCCUGGACCUCGACGACGCGCUCGCCGUGCACUACGCCGUGCAGCACUGCAACCGCGACGUCGUCAAGGCGCUGCUCGAGCUCGGCGCCGCCGACGUCAACUCCCGCGCCGGCCCGACAGGCAAAACCGCCCUGCACCUUGCGGCGGAGAUGGUCUCCCCGGACAUGGUGUCCGUGCUCCUCGACCACCACGCCGACCCGAACUCCAGGACGCUCGACGGCGUCACGCCGCUCGACGUGCUCCGCAGCCUCACCUCCGAGUUCCUCUUCAAGGGCGCCGUGCCGGGGCUGACGCACAUCGAGCCCAACAAGCUCAGGCUCUGCCUCGAGCUCGUGCAGUCGGCGGUGAUGGUGACCACGCGCGACGACGGUGCGCCUGUCACCGGAGGCGAGGCCGGCGGAAGCGACGGCGGCAACUUCCCGCGGAGCGACGCCGACGACAGCUUGGUGAGCCUGACGAUGAACUCGACGCUAAUGUACCAGGGCCAGGAAAUGGCGGCGGCCGUGGCCGCCGGCGAGGGGAGGAAAAGCAACAACGGCCGAGGGAGCCCGCCGCCCGCCAUGUACUUCCCCAAUGGCUUCGCAUAAGUAAUAUUAUUCCCUAUCCUUCUCUUCUACUAGCCGUGUUGAGAUUUGUGGGGUUAUGCAUGGUUGACAAGAUGAGCAGCAAAUGGUGUAGCUAGCUACUAUAUAGCUAGGAUAAAUGGGCAACAAUUUAGUGGUAUUUGAUGUGGAUUGUUCGAUCUUUCGCAUGAUUGAUUCGCUUGCGCGCGCAGCAAACUGUUGCAUGCUAGCUAAUUUGUUCAAAAAGUUUCAAACCAUCAAGCAAUGUUCAUCUUGUAAUAUUGGAGCUGUAGUCUCCAAUGUGAUCGAUCCACCAGGAGAUGAGCAUAUGCUCGAUCCAGCUGCAGCUACUAGUGUUGAUGGCCUGAAGAAGAGGAUUUUUAGCUGUUGGUGUUUUUACAAUGUCUUUAUGCAGUGCAGCUUUUGGUAACUGUAGUAGGCUUUGGACGAUAGGAAAGCGGGGUGCAAGAUCAUGUGAAGGAAUGGGGAUCGAGUGGCGUUCGACAAGGCGAAUCUAAGUGUGCAUGCAAUUGAAUGUCACAGGGUUUGCACAUGCAUUUCUCCUGUGUGACGACAUUUUCUCUGGGAUACAUAUAAAAAUUCGCCACAGUAUAUAUCCUGGAGGAUUGGACGGCCCAGAUCGAUCCUUUUGCAUGGAUGAAGUAAUAUCUACUGGUAAGGUCGUUUUUCUCUGUCUCUUUAAGAAUGGCUUUUUGAUGGUAUGCAUGCUCUCGAUCCUGUACUGAUCUUGUACAAUUAGUACCGGCAGUACGUGAUUUUUGUCUAACAUGAGGCGACAAAUUACAAACCUCCUGUUAGAACACCAUAUGAACUUUUGCAUAUCUCUAUGAUCGACAGACUCUGUUAGUCAAAGCAAGUGUAUAUAUGUGUGUGUUUUCCAUUUUUAUUAAAACUAGUAUGGUGGUCCGCGCAAAUUGCAUGCGCGGCUAGUACCGUUAUAUUUUUUUUCACAUAGCAGCAUAUAUAUUUUCACAUAAUAUAAUUAAAAUAUAUUAAAAUAACAACAUAAUUUUAAAUUUUGUACUAACUUAACCGCACCAACCAAUGUAAUAUUCAUAUUGUAUUGUAUAUACGUGAUAGUUAUUAACUAUUUUUAAAUUUUAAAUUUUUGUUAUUUCUAAAUUAGAUUUCUAUAUGGACUCUAGAAUCCUCUUCUAAUAUUUAUUUCUUUUCUAAUUUCAAUGUCUGUUAUUUAUAAAUGUUAUUCCCAUAUGGGCUCUAAACCUUUCUUUCAAUAAGUAUUUCUUAUUUUUAAUUCUGAAUUUCAAUUAUUUUUAAACUUUAUUCCUAUAUGAACUCAGACUCCUCUUCCAAUAUUUUUUUUUUAAUUCAGAAUUUCUAUUAUUUGUAAAUUGUAUUUCUAUAAUGACUCUAAAAUAUUCUUUCAAUAUUUUUUAAUUCCGAAUAUUAGUUAUUUUUAAAUUUUAUUUCUUUAUGGACUCUAACUUUGGUUCCAAAUUUUAAUUAGUUCUACAUUGUAUAUAUGUAUGGAGUCUAGUCUUCUCUUUGAAUAUUUCUUUUUUUAAUUAGAGAUUUCAGAUAUUUUUAAAUUAUAUUUUUAUAUUGACUCUUUUUUAAGUAAAUUCUAUACAACUAUGGUCUCAAUAUUAGAUUUUCUAAAAAAAAUUGUAAUUUCAGAUUAGUCUAAAUUGUAUUUAUACAUAGUUUCUUCUUGCAAUAGUUAGUUAUAUUUUGAAUUUCAGGUAUUUUAAAUAGUUUUGUUUUUUUUUUACUUUUGGACUCUAAACGAUACGAAUGCAUUGUGACCAGAGUCUGUAUUUUUACUUGUAUAGUUGUAUUUCCAUUUCCACAAUACUCCAGUUUGUUUCUGAUUGAUGUUUGACACUUUGACAGUUUCCAUGAAUCCGUGUCCGAUUGCUUUACUAUUUCUUUUCAUAUUUUCAUCCGAUUAACACAUAUCCUUCUCCGCUUGUCUUUUUUAUUUUUCUUAUUUUCUUCUAUUAACGUGGUAAUUUCUAGACCUUGAGAGCGAACGUUUUCUUAUUUUCUUCGAUUAACGUGGUAAUUUCUAAACCUUGAGAGCGAACGUGAUAGCUCUUUUUUCUAUUAUUUUAUUAAGUUAAUAGAUGUAUAAAGACGAUAUCCUAGCUCCUGCUAAUUCAUUGUGUCAUUAUUAAUAUUAUUUCUUAAUUAUAUUAACCUUUAGAGUAGUCCUCAAAAAAGAUAAUUUGACGACCGUGGCCUAAUAUAUAUACUCCUAUAUAUCCAUGUAGGGACCGGUCACUGAUUAGUGCAUGGGCCCAUUGUUUGAUGAGACUCUAGGGUUAGCUAAAUGUAUACCUUCAUUUACUAGUAUCUGUCGACGGGGGAUACCCGUAGACCGGAUAUAGAGGGUACUGGGGUACGCUGGUACGAGGAUCUACGUAAUACGACAUCAAGCAGACAGAAAACAAAUAUUAUACUAGUUCAGGCCCCUUGAUAGGUAAUAGCCCUAAUCCAGUUGAUAUGGGAU